UACUUUUUUUUUCUACUUUUUUUUGGUAUUAAACUGAUAUGAUAUUUUUAUAAAUUCUUCUUAUACUUUGAUUUUCAAAGACAUAACAUUAUCAUUUAUCCUCUACUUUAUUUUUAUUUUUUAUCGGUCGUUAAUCAAAAUACUCACAUUUUAUUUGUGAUUAAGAAAUUUAUAAGAUUUAAUUAUACUUAUUCCUGUAAAAAAUCAUAUGUAGUUAACUAUUGCAAUGAGUUUAUUUUUGGAAAUUUUUCUGUUUGUUGAAAUUAAAAACAAAAUUUUGAAGUACUUGGAAGUUAAGGAUUUUUUUGUAUAAAUAUAGAAAAAUUACAUAUAUAUAUAUAUAUAUAUAUAUAUAUAUGGUAAAAAAAUAUCAUAAUAUAAUACAACUCAAGUAUGUUUAAAAUCUAUAAAUAUUAAUUCUAAUUUUUUUAAUCCAAGUAUAUUUUUGUUGUUAUCAAUAACAAUAUUAAAUUAAGACAUUGCUUACACAAACAAAAAUAUUUCAAUAAUUAUACCAAUAUAAAGACUUUAACUAUUAAUUGCUACAACCAUUCAAAUUUUAGUGUUACAUUUCUUAGAAAAUUCAAACUAAAGCUUUUCAUAAUUUACUAAUUGGUUAUAACAUAUCAAACAUCUUCAACUGUAGGGAUCUUUUACUCCAACAUCUCAAUCAAACUUUGGUAAUAUUUAGUUCAUUUAAAUUUAAUUUUUAUACCUAGUUUUAUUAGUUUAUAAUAAAAUAAUUCUAAAUAAAAUAAAAAUUCAACAUAAAAAGGAUUAUAUUGUAUUUUUUUUGUGUCAUUGACAAUGCAAAUUAAAAUACAAUCAAAAAGAGUACAUUGUUUGCAUCAAAACACACAAUCUAUAGUUUGUAUGUCAUAAUCUUAUAUAUUUCGUACCAUAACUUGUGUGCAUAUUUUAAAAUUAAUUUUUAUUUUUAAUAUAUGAUUUAAUAAGAUAUAUUUAUUUUAUAAUUAAAAUUUUAAUCUACUUGCAAUUCAAGUAUUUAAAUUGUUAAUAUAAAAAUAUGUCAAUAAUAUGUGUCAACUCAUAUACAUAUACACUCACAUACAUACAUACAUACAUACAUACAUACAAAUAUAAAUAUGUAAAAACAAACCAUUAUAAAACAUCCACAAAAGCCUAAAAUAACAUAUUCUAUCUUGAAAGAGAACAUUUUACAUUUUAUUAAUUUAUUUUAAUAUUAAUAUUAAAGAUUUGUGUGGGUUAGAUCCAGCACAAGGUCUACAAUCUAUGUAGGGAAGAUUAAGUUUUCAUAGCUGGAAUUCAAACCAUCAACCUUGAAUAGUUACAAAUUCAAAGUCAUUCAAUACAAUUUCACACUUAAAUUAGACCGCACAAAACUUACAAUUACAUCACACAAGAUUGGGAACAACACCUCAUGAACAAAUCAGCACCAAUCCCACAUCAACAAAUGCAGGAUUACGCAACAAAUCAGCAGAGUAAGUGCAGAAACAGACAUCAAAACCCCCACAAAAAAGGCACACUUGGGCAAGUGGGAAUGAGCUACACCGGAGUGGAACGAACUCGCAACAGCAGCAGAGGAGCCAAAAUAAAAAAGAAGCGCGUCAAAUCAUGCGAGGAAUCAGACGAAACAGUCACUGCACAAUCACGCACCAGGCAUCGAAAUUAGAAAAGUGAACAUUAGCAAGGCGGCACUGGGAGGGGUACCUGAAGCUCAUGGACUGUCAUGAAGGGAAUGAAAAAAGGUGAAUUCGGAACCAAAAACAGCCAAAAACCAAUGUGGAUGAGUGCGUUGUAGAAAUGUGCAGGUUUCGGUAUCGACAAAACCGUGCCAGGCUGCAGAAAAGCAAUAAAUGAAACAAUAAAUAAAUAAACACACUGGGGUGGAUUGAUUCACUAGAGUGCUAUCCUGUGAGCAUAUUGCUCUCUCUAUGUGUGUAUGUGUCUGUGGGUCUAUGAGAGUGUGUUAGUUUUUACUGCCUGGGAAAUUAGUAGUAGUAGUGGUGGUGAUGGUAGGAGUAACUGUAGUUGCAGAUUGGUUUCAGGGUGGGAGCAAGUGCCCAGUGGCAUCGAUCCAUGGGGGGCUCCUCUUCCUGUUUAUAUCGAUUUAGUCAGUCCGAUCGCCGCAUCAGGAAGCCAAGUCAACCGAGGACUGAUGAAUGCUAACGCCACGGUGGAUGAUCUAACUGCGAGGAGUAGGACGGGUGGUAAGAAUAGAGCUAGAGAGAGCGAGCUAGAGCUCGGGGGAAGAGAAGGAAGGCUGCACUGAUUGUUUCAUUGAGGCGCGAAAGGAAAGGGGAGGGAGGGAAUGCAGCUUCGUAUCAUCAUCUCUUGUUGUGGGGCCUUCUGCGGCGGAGCCGUCGGAGGGCACCAGAUUCCCCCCCACGAGAGAGACCAUGCGAUGCGGCAUUACUUGUCACGGGGGCAUGCACUCUAGAUUAGUUCCCAAUCUCGCGACUGCUCAUCUUGCCCGCGUUGUUCUCAGCGCUGCUGCUGCUGCAACUUGGUCUGUGCGGCAUUGCUGCGCAUCUAGAUAGCUCUGGGUGUUGUGGGGGGGAAGCCGCCAGAGAAUGCCGAGAUUUUUGAUUCGAGAGCGGGUGCUUUCUUCUUCUUCCUCUCUUGAUGCGGGAGUGUAGGGCGAGACGUUGUGCUUCUGGAUAGGAUGUGUUUUGUUCGGCGGUGAUGCUGUAACUGAGUGCUGCUGCAUUUGGCUUAAAUAGGUUUCAGAGUGGGAUGCGGGGGAGGAAUACACGAAUUCUGGAGCGCAGCGGUUGGGUGUUCGUGGUCUUGGACUUGGUAUUAGCUUAGAUAUGCGCGCAACAGGUGUGCGACGUCGGGGCUGAAAGAGCGGAAUGGAUGCUAUGUGAGUCUUUGGAGCAUCCCUCUGCCCGUUAUCCAGUGAUUCAGCUGGAUUCUUCAAGGAUCUAGCCCCGAAUGGAGCACUAGAUUCGCAGAUCAUUUCGUGUUGUUUGCCGUGCUUCGUGAGGGUUCCCAAUCGGCUCCAUCACUUCGAAUGCUGAUUUCUUAUAGCUCUUCCGGUGUCUCCACUCCCGCGCAAUGCAUUGAGCCGCCUUUGUGAUUUCGUGCCCUUGGAGCUUUGCCAUAGAUCAAAUGUGAGGUUGUGGUCGGGAUUGCAGUUGGUAGUAGGCCUCUGCUAGCGUUCAAUUUUGGGGGCUCAUGGUGCUGUUCAGGAGCGAGAGUUCUAGUAUCGUCUUGGAAAUGUUGUGCAAUGGUCGUUUCAGCUCGCUUCGCAGAAGUUCUGGGGGCUCAUGGGGCUGUUCCCACCUUCUGGGUUUUGCAACUGGAGCGACACGCGUGCAUUGAUACUUUCGUGGUGGCCUCCAGAAAUGAAAUCUAAAGUGCGUCAGGUAUGAAAAUCUCAUCUAUAACUGGCUGUCUCGGCGCAUGGUAUUCAACGAUUACAAUGCUCUGGUUGCUUCGUCUUCUAGUCCAUUCUUACCUCUAGGAUUUUUUACUUCAGUUCUGGACAAACAGAUCUUCACUGAGGGUGUCAUAUCACCAAUGUAGGAUGCAGAUGAGGAUACUGUGUCUUCAAAGCUUUCAACCCAUCUGUAGGAGUUCUUCCGACCUGCUUUGUGAUUCUUAUCGCUUUCAUAUUAUGCGUAUAGAGCGUACAGUUUGAAUUGUGGCGAGUUUACAAGCACAUGCGUCGAUCGCGAUUUUGUCCUCCGCUUCUAGGCUUGAGAUUAGGUUUCGUGCUGCAGAUUAUGGUUCGAUUCGAAAGAGUUCCCUAGAUAUCAGAGUCAAAAACUACUCAUUGAUGUGUGCGAGUCAGAGUUCUUGAAUCGACGAAGCAGUAAGUUCAAGUGAUUUCAUGCACAUCUAGUAUCUUCAUGGCGGAAAUUCAGUAGCGCCAGUCCCGUUGUUGGCAUCGUAAUCCUGACUCUUAGAUCCCCUUUGUUCUGCUGGUCAGGUACUCCACACGAGAGGCUGACACAUUGUACUCAGAAUCGCUACAUUGAUGUCAAGUACGACAUCGAGAAUCGUCUUGCUGUGUGCAACCACCCAAUUAGUAAUGUCAAUGGAUACGAACUUACGACUCGAACAAUUUUUGUAGAGAAUCUGUUACUGAGCGAAAUAGUACCAAAUUUUUCCCAUCUUCAUCAACGGCGACAACUGAGGUGGAAGAGAUUUUACCUUGCGCCAGCUUGCCAAGUCUUUCUGGGUAUGGAAUGCGUUCGUAGCUGAUUGGGUAAGAAGACAAGGGUACCAUGAGGAAGAAGACAACGUGGGCGGCUUCCGUGGUGAGAAAACAGCUUGAAACCUGCUGUCAGCUAGAUACCAUCUCUCAUUCUACACUUGAGCGGGACGAUCUCUCUGAGAGCUUUGAAUUGCCGGCGGAGAUCCACAUAUCCUCUCCCAUCAAGGACCUCUCUUUCCCCUGUCUGUUUCGACGCAAAUCUUUCAGCGCUUCUCAUGUGAAAAACCAUGUUACAACUUCCGAGUCUCUAAUCCCCCAUCGAAAAUCAGUCGAAUCCGCUCUACCUCUUUGUGCAGGGUCUUCGUUCAGGCCGAGAACGCUGCAAGAUGCCAGGAGUUCAAAGAAUGUCGUCUUUACUCCGGCAGUGGCCACACGGUUGCCGACGCCACCACCACCGCCACUUUCAGUACCUCCUGGGAUGGAAGCUCCCGAGGCUAAAACACACCACAAAUCAGGACCACUUCCAAGGCUGAGGCGUUCUUUUAACGAGUUAGAGAUGGAAAGAAAUCUCCCUCCUGAAGUAAAGUUCAAGAGAUAUCUGUCAGGACCUCUUCCAACGAUACAACGGGAGCCGAUGACUGCCUCGUCAUCGCCAUCGUUUUUAAUUGCUAAAAGGAAUUACAUGUUAGGCCGGUGGAACAGUUUCGGAAAACCUAGCCUGUUAGGAGGAGGCCCGUCUCCAACAAGUCGAUUCACUAAGGUGAAGUCCUCUGCUCAAGCUCUGUUUCCAGCCGCUGCCACCAGCAAGCUUUCUGAUUUGAUGACGCAAAGGAGCCUGAAAAAGGCGGCGCAGUUGGCGAAGGUUGCUUCUGUUCCAGACAGGAAGGGAUCACGGGGAUCUCGUGCUUCAAGAGUUGAUUGUAAUCUUUGUCCUAAAGCUACCAAAACGAAGUUGCCGUUGCCAAAAGCUGUCAUUAAUGGUGCUUCAUCUCUGGGUUCAAGGGAAGAUGGUGUGCAAUCCGCAAACCUGGGUUCCGAAACUGUUAAGGAUGUCACUGCCUCCAAUGAGAGGGACAGAAUCCGCGCAGCUGUAAAAAUCCAAGCUGCAAUCCGAGGCUACAGGGCUCGCAGAAGGUUCGCUAAGUACCUGAGCGGGGAACUCACAGACGAGGAGGCUGAGGAAGUCCUGUCCAUCAGCACACGGAUGUCGAAAACGAACCCGCAGAAACUAGACAAUGCUCUUGGACCAAGAGCCAGAAGAAUGGAACAAAUGAGCAAGAGUUGGAACGGGAGUCUUCGCACGGCACAGGAUUGCGAGGCGAUUCUGAAAGGCAAGCGAGAAGCGGCCAUGAAACGCGAGCGGGCGAUGGAGUAUGCAUCAUCGCGGCAAAAAUGGAAAACAUCCAGAUCACCGUCAGCGAAAACACCUGCGUUGAUCGUGGACAAUACGUUUCCUGAUAAGUCCAGCUGGGUAUGGAAUUGGCUAGAACGCACCGUCAAAAUGGGAUCGAACAAGAUGCCGAGCAAGGUGUUCGAUAACGACAUGUUCGACAUCAAAGAGCCAGUUAGUGAAAGUGUUUCGGUGAAUAGCACGGUUGAGGUGUAUACCACCGAGGUUGACAGUGCCACCGACAUGGGCCGAAAGUGUCCGAUGACGUAUCCAUGGCCUCUCUCUCUGCGGCAACAGCAUGCAGCUGGUCUGUGGCAAUCGAAGGCAUCUCCUGCGACACCAUCACCGCUGAACAAACACACACAUGGAACUCCAGAACGAUCUCAACUGACACAUUCUGAACUCAAAAGACAUCACCAAAGCAAAGCUGUGUCCACCUUGGCAGAGAGUUGUGACACUAGCCAGAUGAGUAAGCCACGGUUCGGCAUCCGAAAGCUUAGAUUCGCUGAGGAUGAUGAAAAGCAGAACUAUGAUGGAGAGAGUGUCGGUAGCUGUCCUGGACUGCAACCCGGCUUGAAUCACUUAUCCUCCCCUUGUGCAAACCCGAAGCCGAGGUCGCAGGGUGCUCUGCAGCUCAGGAAGACAUAUCCAGACACACUAAGAGAAGCAAUUACGUCCAAUCCUCAGACUCGCCGACAUUCGCAAGAACACCGGGCGCAAAUGCAAGUUGCUGUUGAACUCUCCACCAGUGAUUCAGCUGGAACAACGGCUGCAUCAUUGCGGCGGCCCUUCUGGCGACCUUAGAGAGCAUGGAAUCCACUAAUUCAGUAACCCUUCAACCUGGCCUUCGCUCUUGAGUGUUGAAUGACCCAGAUGAAGGCAAGCAGCGCAGGGAUUUCCAAGUCCAUAUCUUCUCAUUCUAACCGAGCCAUGAAUCCUUAAGAUUUGCUCACGAUCUGUGUCUUGUUGUGAGCACCGAGGAUCCAUUUGCCACACCAUCAUGUGUCUGGUUCAAAGUGAGCUCUUGUACUUCAUGAUACGAAAACUGGUUAGAUUGUGUUCUCUAAUCUGGGAAUCCAUGUUGAACUGUAGCUGGAUUGUGUCGCCCUGAAGUGUGUUCUUUUGUUUGUAGUGUUUCUUUGUCUGCACAUUCUCUCUAAUACACAUGAUACAUCCGCAGUGUACAUACCCACAAGAAUGAAAGGGGCCAGAUAUGCUGCUCCUGUGUUGUAUCAUGGUGGACAGAUGCUUUUUAAAAAUUUUCAACCGAUCGAAGCCCAAACUGCUGCCAGGUACUAAAAACUGUUCAGUCUGCUUCCAUGUGAUAAAAUCUGAUUGCAUAAAUUAAGAGAGGAAGAGAAUGCAGAACUGGGAUUGUAGUGUCAAAACGACCGAAUAGAAAAAAAUAUUACGUACAAUACUAAACAAUGCAUUUGAUGACCCGCUGACUGAUAACUACAACAGUCUGCAAAUACCCUUCUUCUCUGACAGCAACCUUAUGGCUCUAAACUAGCCUCCCCAUUCUCAAAUUUGAUCUAAAAAUGAUAAAACAGUUGUAUCUGCCAAGUUCUAAAGAACUACUUCUGCCUUUUGCAUUCUUUCCAGUCCAUCACUUUUACAUUCGUAACCAAGCUCACUAGCCAUACUUUGUCCGUCACAGAUUGCACUGCUCAAAUCCCAAAGACACUACCAAAGGUUUCUAAUUUAAUUGCAACAAAGAGAUGAAUUUGUAACAGGGCUCAGCCUUUCGAGCUGCUUGCAACAAGAAGGAUAUCAUGUUAGAGCCCAGGCUUUUGAACGGAGAAGUUAUGCCCAAGACCAGAACCCACAAGUGAUUUACCCCAGAUCAGUCCAGAUGUGCUGACAAUGAGAUUCUGGACUGUAGGUUCUCAGAGACUGAUCAUUGAAACCCUAAUUUUGAAGCCGCUUAUAGUCACCAUGUUCAUGACUACAAUAGUGGGGAUUAGUGUUGGGGAAUGGGACGGAGAGUUGAUUAUUUGAGAGGUCAUGUGAACUUAUAGUGGGUGUCAAUGUUUGUAAUUGCUUUGAUGAAGUUCAUUUGGGUAAGCUUGAAAUAAAGCUUGUGUUGUUUCCUUGGUAGAAGUCUUGUCUCGGGAGGGAAAAACAGUUAUAUUUCAUUCAUGCAAUACUUGAAGUUUAUGAGCACUUCCAAAUGAAAUUUUCUUCUGGCCCUUGUAUUUAGUGGCCAAGGUAUUGUUAUUAGCUAUUCACAUGAUGUACAAGGAAGGCAUUACUCAAUGUUGGGCAUGUAAAGUCAUUUGACAACAAAAAUGGUGAGUCAUUUGAGGGAUAAUAUUUUUCAUAUUCAUUUGAAUUGUGUAACUUAUCUAAAAGUAUACUAGUCUUUAAUUUAUCCAUUUGUAUUUACUUGAAUUCAUUAGAUUGCUACAAUAAUUAAUCUUGAUGCUCAAUAAUGAGAAUGUAGCAAAAUGAUAACCCAUUAAUAAUACAAAAAUAAUAAAUGACAUUGAAAGUUUAUUCUAGAUCACAACAAGUGAAUUAAUUUUAGAAUUUUAGUUCUUAUUUAAAUUUUAAUCAAUUCACACUUAAAACUCUUAAUUCAUCCAAGUAGUUAAGCAUAAUCUCUAUUACCAACCUGCAAUUACAAUAGCAAAUUAUCCACAAAAAUGCAUAUCCAAGGGAAUUCCUUCUACUAACUCUUAAUUUAAUUUUUUUUAUUAUUUUAUUUUAUUCGUAUUUUAUUUAAGUAAAAUUUAUAAUUAAAAAAUAGAAUAAGAAUAAAAGAAUAAAAAAUCAUCCAUGAAUAAUUUGUCAUUCAUACUUAAAUUCUAUCCAUAUUCAAAUAAUUCAUCUUUUACUUAAUUUUUCAUCCAAUAAAUAACUAACCAUCCACUUUUAACCAAGUUCUAACCUUUUAUUUUAUUAUAUAUAUAUAUAUAUAUAUAUAUAUUUGUAAAUGUGUGCGUCCAAUGACAAUUUUAUUCCCUUAUAAAUUAUAGAUCCUUUAUAAAUGAUCUGAAUUGCUCACAAGAUGAUGGUAGUCAAGAAGAUCCUUGACUGCUCCUGGACUCGCAAUUCUCAACCCUCGAACCUAGAAGUGCGAGCUCCCUUGACGGAGUAGAGCGAUUGAGCUGUUGAUCCUUGAAUCAAGCGCCUUCCUGACUAUUUAUGUUCCUCCUCUGCAACCCAGUGUAGUCGAUUGGAGGUGAAUCACACCCCACACAAAGAACCAGCCGCGACGAUGUCGCAGUCGCCUCCACUGGCGUUGCAACACAACGAAAAAAGAACACAAAUACAGACCAGCGAAAAAACCACUCAACAACACCCUUCUGGGUCUACUUCUCUAGUCUUCGAGAGAAUCACCGCUGACUGAAAUUUUGAACUGUUGAGGACUAGGAAGUAGUCCCUUGACCACCGCACGCAAUUAAGCAAAGUUGCAAUGCUAGUAUUAGCAGAAUCCUUUUGCCCAGCACCUUAGAAUUGUUGGAAAACAACCGCCGCCAACCACAAGCUCGCCACUGUAGCCGCAAGAAGAACUGAAUGUAGAAAAUCGAACUUCCACGCCAGGACACGAAAAGUAGUGCAACCAACAAAAAAUCAAUGUCUCUUCAAAACAAGCGGUAUUGAGCACCCUCUAACCAAGAAUCACUUCCGUUGUUACAAAAACCACGCAAAAAACAAGGUCAACAUGAAAUCGAUGAGCACCGCUGAACCGUAAUCAACAAUUGUGAGGAAGAAUCCCUCCAUCAAGCCGUUUAGAUGCUACGCGACGCCGUGCAAUAGCAGACCGUUGACAACAGCAACCUUCUAGAUCUUUCCAAUUUUUGGAGAUCCUUGCCGCACAUUGUUGGUACUGCAUUGCCUCAUUCAUUCAAAUCGUUGACAAUAACUCCACCAACGAUUGCUCAAGCAAGCUCAAGAAAGACACCCCAGAAAAUGAAGAACCAUGCUUGGUGACUCUCCGCACACUAUAUAAGAGCACCCUCAUUCCAAUCUAUUGCUGCAUUGUAGCAAACAUCAUUUCUGCAAGAGAGGGCCGCAUCGCAGCACCUCACUCAAAAGCAGAAAGAAACUGAUCCAAAGCGCCUGGAAUUCAUGAAAACCAGAUUUGACGCUCCCACUAUAGAGUCAUCAACGAGAGAAAACACCACUAGCAGCCCACCGCUAGCACAUCGUUGCACGUAGCAGUUACACCACCUUCGGAGCUUCUUUUGAAUAUAGAAACCAGAAAAAAUAGAAGUGCACUUGAACACAGAACGGAAGAAGGAUCCACUUCUAGCUGCCCUUGUCGGAGACCAAUCCAGUCGCACACAUAGAGGAAAACAAUCAGUAGAGCUUGUAACAAGCGGAGCCCAAAAUUCAGUCAUGUUGCUUCUAUUUGCCGAAUGCGGCUCUGGUCAACGAGGCACAUUCUGUCACUGCACAACUCUUCAUGCUGCAACCAAAAAACUCAGCCUCCGAGCCCCUUGUACUACACAAGAGGAGAUGGAGAUUCUCGGCCGCAAUCCCAAUUGAUGCGGAGCUUCUCCUUGCAUGAAAAAAAAACCAAAAAAAUAAGAGAGUGAGAGAUUUUGCUGUCGGACUCCUGUCGACGAGGAGGCUGCCGCCAUUUUGGGGCAGCCUCUCGCCUUCUUGAUCACCUUUUAAUUUUUAUUUAUUUCCUUUUUAUUUAUUUAUUUAUUUAUAUCCUUCUUUUGUCUUUUUUCCUUUUUUCUUCUAUUCUCUUUUCUUUUUAUUACUCUUUUGAUAUUUUAUUUAUAUAUAUAUAUAUAUAUACAUAAUUUUUAAUAACACAUAUAUAUAUAAUUUUUAAUAACAUAUAUAUAUAUAUAUAUAUAUAUAUAUAUAUAUGUUUUAAGAACUAUUAAUAAAAUAAUUUUUUAUUUUUAUUUUUAUUUUCUUUUGACAAUGAGGGCUACUUCUACUGGCCAUCAUCUAAUGUUAACUACAAAAAAACCUAUUCAUUAUGGAAUUUUGUCUUAAUAAAUUCUAUCUUAGGUUGCAUAUUUACUAUGAGCAAUCUAUUUUCUGAUUUUUCCUAAGAAUUCUACUACUAAUUCACAAAAUCUAUGAUUUUAAGGGACAUACAAAUAUCAUCAAAGAAGUUGAGUAACUAUAGAACUUUUCUAGUUGCUUUUGUAUAAGCACAAUAUUCAACUUCAAAGUUCAACUGAGUUAUUUUGUUGUGCAACUAAGUGCAUUAUAAAAUAGAUCCAUUUUUAAUAUUGAACAUGUAUCCUAAAAUCAAACAUUGUUCAUUUAAAUCACCUAAAAAAUCACUAUCAAUAUAGCCAAAUAGAAUCAUCUUUUCUUCUUAUUGAUAGAGAAUUACAAAGUCAAUUGUACCUUUGAGAUAACACAAUACAUGAAUGGUAGUUUCAAGAUAAGCUUUAUGAAGAAUUUGAAUGAAUGAGUCAAAACUUUGACAAUAAAGACAAUUUUAGAAUAAGUAUUAUUUAAAUGAAGUAAUUUCUCAAAAAUCACUCAAUAAUAAGUUGUAUCAAGUAAAAGAAGGAAAUCCAUAUAUGGAGAUAAUUUAAUUGUGAAAUCUAAGAAGACAACAACAAUCAAAUAUGUCAAUAAGCUUAAGUCAUCUAGACAGUGAUGAAUGUAUUAGGAAUGAGACUUAAAUAUGCUAAUAGAUUUAUAGUGAAAUGUAAAGUCUAAAUAUAUUGCUAAGAGACCAAACAUGGAAAUUUAAAAUUUAAAAUGUAAAUGUAUAGCAAGCUAUUGGAUUUUGAUUUGAUGACUACUUGGAAAGAGAAGAUUGUCAACUUAGAUGAUUAAUAAAACCAUUCUAUCAUAAUUGAUGUAAAUAUAUUGGUUAAGAUCAAUACAAGACUAUUUGAGGUCAAUAUUAUAAAGAAAGAUAUUUAGAUGAGCAUUCCAAACUCAAGGUGACUAUCAAAGUCUAUAAAGAUUUUUACAUAAUUAAUAGAUAUAGUAUUUGAAUUUGGGCUAAAAAAAACUAAGAUGUUAUCAAACAUAUAUUUCUUUGACAAUGUUGCUAUUCAAGAAAUUAUAUUUUACAUCUAUAUACAAUAGAGACUGGCACAUUAAACAGCCAAAGAAAUAAUGUUGCAUAUAGUCAACCAUCAUACAAUAUGUGAAAGUUUUUUGUCAAAGUUAAUACUUUGAAGUUGUUUAUCACUGUGUGCUACCAAGCAAGCCUUAUGGAAGAGAAGGUGACCAUCAAUAUCAAUUUUCAACAUAUAAAUCUAUCUUAUGGUAAUAAGUUUAAUUUUAAGUGGUAGCAGAAUAAGCUCAUAUAUGUUGUUAGCAAUGAUGGAUGUCAUUUCUUUAUGGAUAGCAUCAAGCCAAGCAUAGUCUUGAAUAAUUUUAGAAUAAGAGUAGAAUUUAUCUAUAGAUUCAACAAAUAUAAGAGCGUCAAUAAUAUAUGUGAUAGAAGUAACAUAAUCCAAGUAUAGUGUGUUUGAUAUAAAGAUUUGAGAAGAAUGUUGAAGCACAAGAAUUACAAAAAGAUGGAUGGUGGUUGUAGGCUCAAUAAAACAAGGAGAGCGUUAUUGAUAAGUACAAUGGAGUAGUGAAGAUACAUAAUUAUAAUCUUCAAAAUAUGGAGACUCGUUAAAAGAGAUAGAAAGAAUAUUAUAAGGAAUGACUACAAUAGAUAGAAGUACUUUAGAGAUAUAAAAAAGAUGAGCAAGAACAAGGUUGAAGACCUUAAUGAUAGUUAAAUGAUUCAAAAAAGAUUCAAGAACAACCAAUGGACUAGGUUUAAUAGAAUCAAAGAAUAUAUACUAAAGGCAUUGUUUUAUAAAGUGUAUAUCACCACUAAUCUAGAUCUUAUAAUUUUUGGAUUCAUAACAUUUGUAUCAAAAUUGAAUUAGUAUUAAAAUACUCUAUAGGUUCAUAAUAUACAAAAAUAUACUUUGUAAUCUUAGAUUUAAACUUUAUAUAUUGUUCAUUUGGUUUAUGCACAAAAACCAAAUAACCAAAGAUGCAUAAGUAGCAAAGUUGGAGCUAUUUCUUAAACAACCAUUGAUAGGAAGAGACUUCAACAUUGGCACGUAUAGGAGAUUUUUUUGUUGAGUUGCUAGCUAUUUGAAUAACUUUUAUCUAUAAGUAGCAAGAAGUACAAGCUUCCAAAAAUAUUGAGCAUGUCUUUUUAAGAAGUGUAUAAUUUUUAUGUUUACUAAUUCCAUUUUGGCAAAGAAUUAGGACUUCAAAUAGUUCUUGUUGAAUGCUGGUUUUUUGAAGAAAUUUAGUGAAAGCUCUAAAAAAAACAUUUGUCACUUCUACUAUUUUUAAAACAACCAAUAGAGUAUUUUAACACCAAUUCAAUUUUUAUUUUAAAUUUUUUGAAAUUUUCAAGAAUAUUAGAUUUAUAGUAUAGAAAAAAGAUCCAUGUAUAAUAUGAAAAAUUAUUAGUAAAUAUUACAAAAUAUUAGAUUGCACCUAGAAUCAGUAGAAAAGAAGAAUCUUAAAGAUGAAAAUAAAUUAGUUGUUGAAGGCAUUUAUUUUUUUGAAUAAGAAGUUAAGAUUUCUUUUGGUAAGAUUGUUUGCCUUCCAAAAAAUUCUUACAAAUAAUCAAUGUGCCAAAAAUUGAGAAUAUUCCAAAAUCAAGAAAUUUUAAUUAAUAAUUAAUCAUCUUAAUUCAAUAAUAAUUUAAGAUAUUUAAACAUGGCUUUUAUAAAAGCUUUUCAAUUUAUUUUCUUGUUCUAAUAGAUAAUAGAUUAAAGAUUGGUUAAUAAUUUUACCUUCAAAGUUGUAGAAAUUCUUUUAUUAUCUUAGAAAAACCAUAAAUUAAUAAAUAUAGAAUAAAAGAUAUAAAUAAUUAAUAUGGUUGAUACUAGGAUUAAAUUAAGAAUAAGAUUGGACUAAAAAAUUCCUAAGAUAUAUUGGAUUGAUACUCAAGGAUUGACUCAUUGUAGAAUUAGAUCAAAAUUAGACCUCCAACCACUUAAAUGCUGCCUAAGACAAAGUAUGGAAGUAUUUGGAGAUUAUCAUCUUGAUUAGAGAGUUAGCUUAAAGUUUUUUCUAAAGGCAUAAGACUUCUUUUUAUAGAGUUUGGAUUAACUUUGUAAUUUUUGUUUAAAAUCAGGAUUUAUAUUGGUGACUUUGAAUUUAUGCAAUAUAAUUAGGACUAGUACUCUUCAUUAGUUCAUUCAAUUGAUGUCACAUCUACAAUUCAAAAUUUGAUAAUACUUGAUUGAUAAAGUGUGCUAAGUGUAUAUACAAUAUUAUAUUAAUCUAACAAUGCAGUUGAAAGAUAUUUGGUUUUUGGUACAAGAAGAUAUCAGAAGUUGGCAAUUUAGAAUUAGGUAGGAUUUUUAUGAUAUCUAAAGAUCUACUAGUUGGAACAAGGUGAAAUUUGGCAUGGUGUUAGAAGACUUGAAGAUCAACCUAUACAUCGAUUUUGAAUUGAAGACAACAUUUGAAGAAAGAGAAUUUGCUACUGGAACAUCUGAUAUUAAUGUGGUUUUUUUGGAUGUUUUUUCAUAAUUUAUAAGUUAGAUUGUCCUAAAAUAUUUUGACCAUAUAAAAGACUUAUAGUGGUAUUUAUGUGUAUAAUUUUGUACCAAGUCGAUAAUUAAAUUAAGAAUUAUAGCUUAUUGAAGCCCACUUACGAUAAUUAAGGCUUGCAAAGAUAAAUCAAAAUUGCCUAAUCAUGAAAGUAAUAAGACAACUCGAGUUUGUGUAUAGUUGAGGUUAUUAAGAAGAGUAUUUUUUAGCACUUUAUAUUGGCUUUUAGUACUUUUUAAUUAAAAUUUUAAUUGCAUUUUUUUUAUAUGGAUGAAAUUUAUUAGGAUUUCUCGAAUCCUUGUAAAAUUCAACUUUGCCUUUCAUAGUGUUGUGAUUGGUGCAUUCCCAAAUAAGACAACACAUAAUAUAAUAGUGAUUAAAAAGUAUAAUAAAAGAUAAUAUUAAAUCUAUCUAUAUUUAUUUUCUAUUUAUUAUUUCUUAUCUAAAUAAGCAUGUAUAUCUGUGACAUUAUUUCCUCUUUAAAGAAUGAAUUCCACAAGGAACACCAAUCAUAUGUUGAAAGAAUCCAAGAUGCAGCAAAUUAUGUUUGCUACAUAUUUUAAUCUUUGUUCCCUACAAAGGUGGUUGAUAGGUCAUCUUAGCCAUUGAUAGUGCUCUCUAUCAAAGCAAAAAAAAUCACCUUAUUAUUUGAUCAUUAUUGAAGCUUUUAUAAAUUUUUUCAAAUAAAUUCUAAUAGGUGUAAUUAAUAAAUAAUUAGGUUAAUAUAUUGCAUAUAAGAAAUAAUCCAAGUUUAUAAUAAUCCAACUUGUUAUAAGAGCAAAUAGUCUUGAUAUUAUGACAAAGUAAUCAUAUCUUGUUGUUAAUGUCGAAUUGAAGUUGUUCUUGGCAAUAGGCAUAUGCAUUGAUCUUUUGUUGUUCUUGAGUUUUUUUAAGUUGUGUCUUCAUUGUUGCAUGUAGCUCAAGAAUUUAUUACUUUUUACUUUUCAAAAGUUGAUAAUAUUGUGGUUAUCUAAUCAUCUUAUUGAUUUUGAUGGUACAUAUCAAAUACUACUUCAAAACUUGAUUCACUUGAUCUGUUUAUCCAUUAGUUUGAGGGUAAAAAGUCAAAGAUAGUUUUACAUCUAUCUUCAAAAUCUUAAAAAGAAUUUUCUAAAAUCUUAAUAUAAAUUACAUCUUCUUAUCUAAUAUAAUAUCUUUUAGCAAUCUAUGAUAGCAAUAAAUGCUAUAAAAAAAAAGCUUAGUUAUUUCUUCAUAUGUAAUAGAUUUUAUACAUGAUACAAAAAGUGCCAUCUUAGUGAAUUGAUCUACUAUCACAAAUAUAGAGUCAAAAAAAUUUGAAACUUAAAGAUCCAUAAUGAAGUUUAUAAAAAAAAUGACCAUAGUUGUUUUUAAAAUAGGUAAUGGCUAAAGAAGUCCAUAAGAUCUAUGGUGAAUUUUUUUUGAUUUUGAACAAAUGUCAUAUAAUUAAAGAAAGUAUUUAACUGCCUUCCACAUUUGAAGCCCUAAAAAAUUUCUAAAUAUUAGCUCUAGAAUUUUAUUAUAUCCAAAAUUUUUGGCUUUUAAAAAGUUGUAAUGAGCUUGAAGAAUACAUAAUUAUGCUUCAUCUUUUGAAAUGUAUAAUUUUCCUUCAAAAUAGAAUAGAUUAUUUUUAAAUUCAAAUUUAAAAGUAUUAUAUAACUUAAAAGAAUUUUUCUUAUUAUCAUAAAUAAGAAGAUUAGAAGAUAUACUUGAUUAAACUUGCUUGAAAAAGAUUGAAUCAAUAAUCAAUAUUGAUUUCAUUGCUCAAAGAUCAAAAUACUUUGACUUCAAGAAAAUUAUUCUUUAUUGAUAAAAAGAUACAUAUCUUUCUUUCAAUAUUAAAUAAGAAUGUUUAACAAACCUUGUUGGUUUUUUGGAUCAAUAAGUGAUCUUAAAAUCAAAUCUUGAUAAAGACAUGCCCCAACAAACUUAGCGACAAUUCGAAACUUAUGUUGAUAUAAAAUAUUUAAGAUUCUUAUUAUUUGUAUAUAUGGUGACUUGAUUAGAAGCAUCUUCUAGAUAAUGACACCAUUCUUAAAAUGAAUCCACCAUUGUAAGAAGUUCUUUGUUGUAAAUCUUAUAAUUAAUUUUAAUUGCUAUUUUUUUUUUAAAAUAAAAAGCUACAAAGUAGCGCUUAUUAUUUGCUUUUAUUUAUAAUAAAACUACAUCCAUAGCAAAGUUUGAUGUAUAUGUUUUUUAUAAAAAAUACCAUAUAAAAUUUGAUACAAUAUAAAAUUGCUAUAGAUAUAAAUAAUGUCUUCAAAGCUUCAAAAGAUGCUUUAACUUCUUUACUCUACUCAAAUUUGUCUUUACAUGUCAAAUAUAUAAAAAGAGCUGCAACUUGAAAAAAAUUCUUAAUGAAGAUUUGAUAAUAAUUAGAAAAUUUUAAAAAAUAUUGCACAUUUUUUAUUGUUUUUGAGAUCUUCCAAUCUAUAAUAGUCUAAAUCUUCUUAGGAUCCAUCAUAAGGCCAUUAUUUAAAAUGAUGUAUUUUAAAAAAUCAAUUUGAGUGGUAUGAAGUAUACACUUUUCUAUCUUAGUAUAUAAUCUUAUAUCUCUUAAUUUUUUUUAAUAUACAAUGAAUAUGAAGUUCAUACUCUUUAAUGUUCUUAGAAUAGAUUAAGAUGUCAUUUACAUAAAAAAAAAUAAAGUCAUUAAGAAACUUACAAAAGAGAUUAUUUAUUAGAUAUUAAAAAUCAAUUAAUACAUUUAAGAAUCCAAAAGGCAUGAAAUUACAUUUAAAAUAUUCAUAUUUGGUUCUAAAUGUAAUCUCUUAUUUAUCUCCUUUUUUAAUGAAUAUCAAGUUGUAUGUUUUUUAUAGAUCUAUUUUUAUAUAAAUUUUUUCUUGAUUAAAUUGAUCAAAAAUCUCUAAAAUCAAAGAUAAAGGAUACCUAUUCUUGAUGGUGAUCUUAUUGAGUUUUUGAUAGUCCACAUACAUCUGUAGAGAUCUAUCUUUUUUAAAAUAAGAGCACCUACUAGAGAUUUAGAAUAGCAUAUGAAGUUCUUAUCCAAGUUCUUAUCAAUGUAUUUUUUGAAUGUAGCCAACUUGUUCUAUAAUAAGCUAUAGAUAGAUUUAAAUAGUAAUUGAACUCUUUUUUGAAGAUCAAUUGAAUAGUUAUAAGAAUAUUAAUCUAGAAAAAUAUCUCUCUCUCUCUCUCUCUCUCUCUCUCUCUCUCUCUCUCUCUAUAUAUAUAUAUAUAUAUAUAUUCAAAAAUAUCUUAAUAAUCUUAAUAUUGCCUUAAAAUAUGACUUGAAAUUUUUUGUUAAUAAAAAAUAACUGUGGCAUGUAUAGCAAACAUUAUCUCUUCUUUUAUAGCAUGCAUAAAAGUUCUUACACCUAUCAAUAAGGAUUUGGAUAUAUUAAACUUAUGGAUAUUUUUUUUGUCUAGCAACAUCUUGGGCUAAAUUACAUGAAAAAUUAUUGUUAUAAGAAAUCUAGUCUAUUUGAUGGUUAUAUUUUUUUAGCCACAAUAAUCCUAAAAUUAUUAAAUUAAAAAGAGAUUUAAUUAUAUGAAAUAUUAUUAAGCUAUUAUGACCACUAGUUGUCCCAUCUAAAGGAAUAAUUUUAUAAAUAACAUCUUCAAAAGACAACAAAUGACUAUCUAUUAUUUCUACAUGCAUAAAUUUUAUUUAUUUAACUAAAGAUAUGUCUUAUUUUUGUCAAUGUCUUUUUUAAUAAAAUGAAUUGAGGCUCCUAAAUAUAACAAUGCUAAGGCUUUAUGAUUUUUUGCUCUUAAAAAAAUCCUAUUGUAAAAUAAAGUGAAGGAUGUGAAGAAAAGAUAGGACUUUAAUUAGAUAUUCUAUAAGAUUUUAGUUCCAUGGUUCUUAUUGUAGCUAAAAAAAUUGGUUUUUCGACACAUUGUCAUUUUUAGCAACUAUGCUCUUCAUUGUGACUAUGUUGCUUCUUUAGAUAAUGUUGAGUAGUAUGCUUAGAUUUUCCACAAUAUAAACACAAUCCUUCUUGACAAUAUCAAGUCUUUUUUACUCAAUAAGAGGCUUGAAACAUAUUAUGCUAAUUUAUAUAGAUUUUGAUUUUAAUGAAUUAGUUUCUUUGAAUUUAGAAGUUAUUGCCAUGACUUAACUUAUACCUCUAUAACUAAAUCUUUGUUCUUGGCAUCUUUCAAAACAUUGAUUGCCACAUGCAAUGACUUAAGAAAAAAUUUAAAUAAUAAGUCUAUUCUUGACAUUGUCAAUAUUAAAUCUUUGCUGUUAUCUUUUAAUCCAUACCAAAAUUACUUAAUAAGGGCAUGAUCAUUCCAAUCCACAUCACAAGCAAGGUUUUGAAAUUCAAGAACAUGUAUGAUGGAUAAAUGUGUUUCUUGUCAUAAAGAUACAAGUUUGAUCUUUGCUAUUCAUUUUCAAUUACUUUCUUCAAAUGCGGCCAUAAAGACUUCUAAGAAUGAAUUUAAAUUAUAGAGUAGUCUUGAAUCCUUUUCUAUUAAAUAUAAAAACCAAGAGAGAGCACAUCUAGAAAGAAUUGCACUUAUGAAUUUAACUUAAAUAAAUCCAUCAAGAUAUUGAAAAAAAUGCAAUCUUAGAUAGAACUUUAUUUGUUGUAAAAAUCUUUGAAAUUUCUAUAUUAUAUAUCAAACUUCUCUUAUAUACUUAUCCUUAUUUCUUUCAUACUUGUAGUAGCAAGACUUCUUAGAUUUAGUUGUAAACUUGAUCUACUUGCUUCUCUUAACUGUACAACUUCUUUGAACUUCACUAUUAACUUCUUCUAUAGGCAUUGGAAUACUACCUAUAUGAUUGAAAUUAAAAAUAUAUGAGAUUUCUAUCUUGAAAGUGUUGAGAAGCUCAUAAAGAUUUGUAAUAGUUGCAAAUCUAUUCUUAUUUCUGCCAAGAAUUGCAUCUAUAAUUUUUUCUUUUAUAGAAAAUUCAAAAAAAAUUAUAUUCAAAUUUGAGAAGGAUAAUUUUUAAUCCUUAAUAUCAAAUAAAAAUUUCAAAAAAUAAAGAUGGUCUAUUUUUUUUAAGAAAAAAAUCAUUGUUAGAAAAUUAAAAUAUUAAAUUGAGGGUUGAAAAUUUGUAAUCUUCAAAAUAAAAUAAUAGAAGUAAGAUAGUCCACCCACUUCUAAAUACAAGACAAGAAAAAUGAAUUAAUAAUCUUAUCAAAUUGUCAAAGACAUGAAUUUUAAAGAAUCAAAAAUUCAAUAGACUCUUAUGUUAUUCAAAUAGAAUAGAUAUUCAUUCAAACAUAACAUAGUAUUGAAAUUGGAAUGGCUAUUGUUAAAGACAAAAAACUAUAAAGUCUUGAAAUAAGUCUAAAGACUAAAAAGGCAUUGAUAAGAGUGAAGAAGGAUUUAUUCUUACUUCCAUAUAUCUAAAUAAGUCUAAAGACUUAUUUAUGUGACUUUAUAUUUAGUCUAAAGACUUAUUUAUGUGACUUUAUAAGAUAUAUAUAUAUAUAUAUAUAUAUAUGUAUAUAUAUAUAUAUAUAUAUAUCUCAACUUGCAAGAUAAGUUUUUUAUAUGUAUGCCACAUAGUUAGCUUUUUUUACAAACUACUAAUAUGUAAUUAACUUGUUCAACAAGUUUUUAAUCUAUUAAUCAAUUACAAAUACAUGUAAAGUCAAAUUAGCAUUUAUGAAGCUUCUAAAAAGCUUCUCUAAAAAAUAUACUAAAAUAAAACUAAUUUUAUCUACUUCUAUUUAAUUAUAUGAGUAAAUAUUAAGAUAAGUAUUUAUGUCUGUGAUACCUACCAAUCAACUUCAAAUACAUCUAAAAUCAAAUAUGUAUCUAUGAAGCUUUUAAGAAGUUUUGUCAUCAGAUAAUAUCAAAUAUACCUAAAUUUAUCUUCUAUCUAAUAUUUCUUAUCUAAAUAAAUAUAUAUGUCUAUAUUACAAGCAGAUUUAGCCAUUUCUUAAGCCAACUUAAGAAAGUUGUGCAUAAAAUGGUUUUCUCCUCAGCAAAAUUACAUCUAAGAGUUUUGUAGUAUUUGCUUCUUAGAUUAUAUAGAUAUCAAUGGAUGCCUCCUAUAUGAUGUCUUGGAGCAAAAAGCAAUAAGUAUUGUAUGCAAAUUAUUAAAGCAUCUUCUCUAGUAGUAGUUAUAUUACAAAAUUGUGUGUGAAUUUUUACUUAAAAAAGUUUAGCAUUAAAAUCAGCAAAAAAUGACAUAGCAUUGAACUCAAAAAUAUUUUAGUACAUGUUAUCUAUUCUAGAAGAAAGCAUAUUAAUAGUAAAUUCUAUUAAUUUAAUAAUAAAGAUUGAAUUGUCAAGCUUUUAAAAUUCAAAUUGAAUUUUUUGAAUUCAAUAAAUAAAUUUAUAAACUAAAGUUUUUUUUGUUAAAUAAAUAGAAUGAAGCUUAUGUUAAAGUAUCAGUAUUUUAGCAUUGCUAUGCUAUUGAUAAAAUUAAGCAAGCAAUAUCUAAGCUAUAAUGGAAUUAAUGUAUUCAAAAAUACUUGAGAAUAUAUUUUUUUUCUUUUAUUUUUUUACUAACAUAAUGACCAAAUGGAAACCAUUGACUUAUUCAAGAACUAUAUUAGAGGCUUUUCUAAGUUGGAGAGGAUUUUUUCCUUGAAGAUGCAUAUAUUUCUAAGUUUUUUCUUUUAUUAAUAAUAUUUUCAUUUUGACUUUUUGGGUUUGAUAGUUCGUUCCAUUGAGCUUAAAUAUCUCUAGAAGAAAGUUAGAUGCUAUGGAAAAUCACACAAAAUAUCUCUCAAAAUAUAAAUAAAAUCAACUUGUCACACAUACCAUUUAUCUUUUUAACUUUCCAAUUUAUGCCACAUAGACACUUAGUGACAAAGAUGAUAAAACAAACACUCAACUUUAACCAUGCUCUAAGGAAAAAAUAAAUAUAAGACCUUUUAGUGACAUUAUCCAAGAAACACCUUCUUAAAGUUUAAUACCAUGUAAAAAUUGAUAUAAAUCAAUGAUUUAUAUUCUACUAUACAUAUGAAGGUUUUAGUUUGUGUUAUAGAAUAUAUAGAGAGGUUAUUGUCACAAAUAUACAUAUUUAUUCCAAAAAUUAUCUAUAUGAUUAAGAAAAAGUAGGUGAAAGUAUAUUAAUUUCAUAACAUCUUUUAAAGAAGCUUCUUAAAAGCUUUAUAGAUUCGAUUUUGACUUUACAUAUAUUUGCAAUUGAUUGGUAGAUUAGAAACUUGGUCAACAACUUAAUCAUGUGUUACAUAUAUUGGUGGCUUGUGGAACAAGUUAAUUAUGUGGCAUACAUAUAGAAAACUUAACUUACAAGGUAAGAUAUAUAUCUUUUAAAGCCAAUACAUGUUAGAGAUUCUAUAGAAUAUUGUCACAUAGCUUCUAGUUAGAUAGAAUAUAUAUAUAGAAGCAAGAAUGAAGCCUUUUUCACUCUUACAAAUGCAAUUUUAGUCCUUAAUCUUAUUUCAAAACUUUUUAAACUUCUUCUCUUUGGCAAUAGAAAUUCUAGUUCAAUUUUUACCAAAUUUGAAUAACUUUCUAAUCUUUUUGAAUGAUAUAAGAGUGUAUUGAGUUUUUUUUCUUUAAAAUUUAUAUCCUUAGCAGUUACAAGAUUAAUUACUAGUUACUACAUUAAUACAAUAAUAACAAGAUUGGAUCCUAUUUCUGCUUCCAAUAAGAUAUGUUUUAUACUAAUUUUGAUAAGUUUUAGUUUUAAUAAAAAAUUAAAAAAUAAAUCAAAUACAUUUACACAAGAGAUUAAAAUAGAAGAAAAAAUAAAGAAGAUAUUUGAUUUUUAUCCUAAUGUAGCAAAAACAGUAUAUUUUAAAAAAACUAUUACAAUUGUAGUAAUAAUAUAAGUUGUACACAAUGUUUUUAAUGUUUAUAUGUCUUUGUAUAUGGACAUAUAUUUAUAAUAUUCUUUGUAUUUUUUAUACUAUAUCUAUAUAUAUAUAUAUAUAUAUAUAUAUAUAUACACCAUAACUUUCAUUAAUAUCUUUACCUACAAAUGGAAUAUGAUUUUUGUUUAUAUUUCAUGCUUUGACAAGUAAAAACAUUUAUAUAUAACACUUUGUAACAGAUACAAUCAUUGGUUAUCUUAUGUAUAUGGUGUUCAUAAUUAAAAUAAGUAAUAUAUAUUAUUAGAUUUUUUUCAUAAGAAGAUUUUAUUGAUAUUUUUGAAAUAUCUUAAUUAUUUAAUAUUUUAGAUAGAAUAUAUUUUUAUAUUAUUUUAUUUUAUAAGAAUUUCCUAAAAAUUAUGAAUAAUUAUUUUUUGAAGAAUAUAUAUAUAUAUAUAUAUAUAUAUAUAUUUUUAAUUAUUUAUUUAUUUGAUUUUUUAUGAUAUUAAUAUGAAUAUAUUAAUAUUUUUUAAUUAUUUUUAUUGUAUUGUUAAUUAUUAUUAUAUUAUACCAUAUUUUACAUUAAUAUUUUGCUUCAAUAUAUUACUUUCAAAGUAUGGCCUUCAAUGCUUGUAUGUACUUAUUAUAGAAAAUCAUAUAUAUAUAUAUAUAUAUAUAUAAUCAUCAUUAUAUUUGGUUUUUAUUACUAUUUUUUUAGAUAUCAAUUAAAAAAAAUAAAUACUUAAAGCAAUAUUCUUGAUGCAAUACAAGAUAUUUUUAUAUACAUAUUUUUUUAAUCAUAAUUAGAUUGAUAUAUUAAAUUUUAUAUUUUAAAAAAUUAUAUUCUUAUGUAGUUCUUUUGCAAUAUAUAAAAAAUAUUUAAUUACAAUAAAUUAGUUUACUUGCCAUAUUUACAUGUAUAGCCACUUUUUACAUAGAAUUAAUUCAAAACAAAAUAAACAAAUGAACAUAACUAAAAUCAUUGAAGUCAUCAUUGCCUAUAUAAAUGCAUGUUACAUAUUAUACAUAUAAAAUGAACAACACAAUGAAAUAUAAAAAAAUAGGCACUAUGGAGGAUUUUAUAACUAUGAGUUAAGUUUAAAAGACUAUAGCUAAAGACUUCUAAAUAUCUUAAGCGUAUUGAAGAAAAAUUAUUUGUUAAAAAACCUCUCUAUUUAGAGAUAGAACUAAGUAAAUGACAAAAUCAAAUGAUUUUAUUUAUUAUUGUUUUAAGUAUAAUAGUUCAUAUCUUGAUUUUGGCAAUUGUGACAAACAAUUUUUAAAACCCAAUUUUUAAAGGCCUAAGAUAAAUUCUAGGAACAAAACUAUUCAUGCAAUAUGAUAAGUUCUACCUCAUCGUUUCCUCUUAUAACUUCUCAUCUAAUUUCUCUAAAAAUACUAAGCCAUCUAAAGAAGAAUUUCCAAUGAUAACCAAUCACAUUCAUCAAACAAAGUCCUAUUAUCAAUCAACUAAAAUCCUAGAGUUUUAUUUCCAAGUGUUCAAACCCUAAAUGCCAUUGAUGCAUGCAUCACAACAAAAACAAACAUGCAAAAAGUCAAUGGUCCAUGAAUGCCAUAAAUGUGCCAAACAGGUAAAACACGAGCAUGCAGGCAAGGCUGUGUGUUACCACGUUGUGGAUCCUAACCUCGUUUGUCUCGUCAGGGUUUCAUAUUUUAAAUCGGGGACACGUGAGCAACCCCGAAGAGCGUCGACGCUGCUGCUGCGGCUAGAGCGGGGCCUCGGCGGGGGGCGCCGAGAGCGUGUCGGCCGCAGCGAGGGCACGAGGACAAGAGGGCGGGAUUCUUCGACGUGGGCGAAUCCCUCCAUCCCACGGGUCCGGACAAAUCCCGUUUUGGCUCAUUUACUCGCGAAGGCGACUUUUGCAACAGGAAUCGACGUGCAAGUUCGUCGCUUCGGGGCUGCAGCCAGUCUGGCAGCCCCGACUUUCCCGACUUGCCUUUCCCACUAUCCGUACUCGCGCUUGCCACACGCUGUUGACCUUGCUCGCGUGCGUGGAUCAGUCCCGCGGGGUCGGUGUUGUUGAUCCACGGAUGGGUUGCUGCCUGUUGUAGCCACAGUAGUCCUCGAAUUUUUCUGUAUCUCGCUUAACAGUCCUUGGCGAAGGAGUUUUGGGUCUUCGUCGAUGUGCUCUGUUGACUUUAGAUUUGUUUACCUAGUUGGGUAGUCAUGUUUGGUGUGCGUGUUGUCUAAUACUGUGCCGGAGUAUAAUAGCGUGUAGGUAGAUAUUACAUGUUGCAUGCGAUUAGUUGAUAUCGUUGUACGAUUUCGUCGUUCCUUUUCGCAUGUUUUCGUUUGGCAUUUUGAAGUGGGUUGGAGUGUAAUGAGCAUUGAAGCCUGGGGUUUCGUUUUCUGUCUCUGCGAUUCGCUGCGGUUGUCGCGUGGGGGCAUUUAGUACCUUAAUUUGCUCGUUUUUUUCUUGUAGCGUAUUGUCUGUGUUUUAGAACAAUUUUUGGGUUUGUGACUGAGGAAUUCUUUCAAGUCAAGGUGCGCAGUUCAAAGCAGGAUGUGUCCUCUACGAGUCAUUCUGCUCUUCCUUUCUGCCAUACUGGCGGGUUACUUAGCCGUGAAGACUGUGAAAGCGCAACAGGAAUCCAGCAUCCUAGACCCAAGUGAAGAGUCGCCGAAGCAAGCAAUCGAGCACAAGGGUCUUUUUGCCGUAGUAAGCAUACACUCAACGCGUGACGUGCAAUUUCAUGCACUCAUUCUAAUCUUCCUAAAACAACAGGAUGUCUUACGCCUGAAGCAUAAAGCUUGGUACUUUUAAUUUGUAGAUUGUUCGAUCUCUCCACUUUCGUGUCCUCACAAACACGUCCCAUUGCGUUUAUUCCCGCGGACCCUCGGAUUACACGUCUUAGAUUUUCUGACAAACCCUAACGUGUUCCGAGGGCAUACUCUCUUCCAUUAGCCUUUGUUCUAUGAACUCAUCUACUUGCUAUUGUGCAGGUCUCCGCACGAGCUUCCUCCGCGUUAUCAGUAACGAUCGACAUGCUCAGUGGUCGCUAUCUGUACCAAACUCUCCGCAAGCAAGCGAACGGUGAAGCGGUGGCCGAUCAAUAACACAGUAUAGAGAUCGACCUGCACGGCGAUCGACUGUAAUUCUCACCAAUUCUCUGCUCGCCGUUGGCGUGUCCAUUGAUGGCAGCCCUUUGUAGGCCCUCAUCUUGUAUCUGCAAACCUAUCGACGCAACUGUGAUUCUUCGUAACUCACUAGAAACUACACUGAAUUAUGAGACCCUAAACUCAAACAUUACUCACAAUGAACACUAGUUGACAGAAAAAAACUCCAAUUCAGAAUAACUUAUCCAGAGAAAGCCUUUUGCGUUCAUUAUGAACUUUGUUUAGAAAAAAAACUCAACCCUAACGGUUUCUCUGUGAAAGCUUAGUGGUUUGGAAGCUGUGAAUAAAACAAACUCAAAUCUAGCCAAAGCAACCCUCCAAAUAUACUGGAUCAUGGGAAGCUUGAAAGAAACGUACUUGUAAUUCUAGAAUCACAUGGAAAUAAAACUCGGGCAUGUGUAUGUCUUUGUGUUGUUUGAACAAGAGUUUGUCUUGAGGAUUCAUUAUUUUGCAUCACAAAAUCUGUGCAUGCUCUUUAGCUGGAUGGUUGAUUGAUUAACUAAGUUGGGCUUAGAUGUGCUAAUUUGUUGCUCACAUAUGAGCCAAGAAGGAUGAAAAUAAUGGGGUGUUUUUUUAACGAAUGUGAAAAAAUGCAUGUAGUUAAAAAUCGCAUUCUUGGAUGUGUAUGGGAAAAGGUAGUAGAAUCUGCACCAGGAUUGGGUCAAGACUAUCGUUCUUCUAAUCUUGUCAACUUGCUUCUGUUUAGGAUUUGUUUUUAUGAGUCAGCGUAGCCACAUGCUGGACAUAGUCAAUACAUAAAUAAUUGUUUGAUUAUGAUUGACAGAACUGGUACACAAAUGCACGUGCGUGGUGUUUUUUAUUUUAUUUUAAUUUUAAUUUUUUCCAGCGGUAAGAUUUUAGUAGUUAUCUAGAAAUCAUGGAAGCACUAGUUUUUCCUCUAGCCAUCCAAAUAUAAAACAUAUUUCUUCAGUGUUUUAUUUCCAUUAAUUUUUGUGAUGGAUACAACAAACAGGUAGGUAUAACAAACCUUCUAUUAUUUUCGAAUCUCAUAGUUUUUUUAGAAAACUAUAUGAUACUGUAUAAUACAAACAUUAGAAGAUAGAAGAAAAAUUAUGCAAUAUUAUGCUGUAAGAUGAUAAUUUUAUGAAAAGAUCAUCUUUCGACUGAGAUGUGGAUUGUACACAACUAUAAUUAUAAUGUAAUACUUUUAGAGUACUUAAUUUUGACUUCUUAGUCGUCAAAGAACCAACGUGACUAAUUAAAAUUUUACAACUUUGAUGUCUACUCAUUUACUAAUCUACUAAUUUUUACAAACUUCAAAAAUUGCAGAUGUAGAAAAUAUUGAAAAAAAUCAUACUAUGAAUACAAUACCAUUUACUAAUGUAUUGAUGUGCAACACCAUUUACUUGUAUUUUAUGAUUAAUGUCAACAAUAUUUUAAAAUUAAAAUAUAGAAUACAACAUUUUAUUUUUUAAGGACUUAAAAUAAUCAUUUAGAAAUACUAUAAAUAUACAUACAUACAUACAUACAUACAUACAUACAUACAUACAUCAAGAGGAAACCCAUUUAGCAAGCUAAAUGAAACUAUUAUGCAUUUCAUUGUUUUAUGGUUCUAUUAUUUGCAUUUUUAUUUAGGUUUUAAUCUAUUUUUAUGUAUAUUUUCUUCAUAUUUUGCAUAAAAAUAAAAAUAAAAUAAAAAUGUAUAAACUUUAAUAAUUAAAAAAUAUUAUUUUUUCUAUUUUUGUAACAUAAUUCACGAUGUUACAUUUUACUACUCAAAUAUGAACACGGAGUGAGUCGAGAACAGGGCUGUGGUGUGAAAGUGGUCCUAGUGUGAACAGGGAAACUCCAUGAAAGGAGUUAAUUUGUCUAGCAUAAGGCUGCAGUGUGAACGAGGCUAAAGUGUGAUAUGUAUAUACAUAUAUAUAUAUAUAUAUAUAUACAUAAGAGAAAGGAGACCCAUUUUGCAUGCUUAAAGAUUGUUGAAGCCUAGAAGAAUUUUUUUUAGAGAAUCUGCAUUACAAAUAGUUUUUCAUAUCACACUAUCAUCACAAAAAUAUUGUGAAAUUUUGAUGUGAGAUUGGUUGAAUUUUUUGAGAUAUUUUUAUUUAUGAUUUUUCCUAAAGACCUUAUAGAAAUUUUUUAAAAAAUCACCAAAAAGUUGGAAAAUGUUUACAUUAAAUACAAAUUAGAAUAUUUUUAAAAAUUCAGCAAAUCAGAUAUCAGUUGCAAUUCAGUCAAUCGGGGAGUUGAAUGAAAUUAAUAGUUGGAAUCCAAUCAAUUAGGUAAUAUUUGGACAGACACCAAUUUUAUAUAGCUAAAGAGUAUAUCUAUAUAUAUAUAUAUAUAUAUAUAUUCAUGUAUUGGCUCUGUAAAUUCCAAAGCAUAGUUUUUGAUUAUAUACUUUAUAUCAUAGUUUUUUUUUUUGAAUAAAGUAAUAUGUUGCUUAACAUCAACAUUUGUAAGUAUGUAUAUAUACACACAUAUAUUAUUUGAUGUUAAAAUUACAUCAUGUUGGUUCAAAGUAAAUUAGGUAAUAUAUUAAAUAUAUAUUAAAUAAAUUUUAGAAAUAAAUAGAAGUCUCAAAAAAAUAAUAACUAGAUUUUAUAAAUAUAAACUUGAAUGUAUUAAAUGAGAUUCAACUCUUAACUUCCUAUGUAAAAGUUUUAAUCACAUUCAAAAAACUUUUAACAAUGAACAUGAUAUUCAGUCUUUGUAAAGCCUACAUUCUGGUGUAAAAUAAAACAAAUUAAAAAUAAACAUCUAGAAUGCUUUUCCAAUUUGUUUUUACAUUCAUUAAUAUCGCUAUCCAUGUAAACAUUUGAAUGAACAUGUUCGUUAAUGGUAGCAGCAGUGGUAUAAUUGUCUAGGGUUAAGGCCCACUCAGGCACAGUUGGGAUUAGUUGAUACCAACUGGAAGGUUUCUAAUGGUGAUGUCAGGCUUCUAUUAAUUUAUAAGAACAGAAUAAUUUAUUUGUUUUUUUUUCCUCUGAAUGCCAUUUGGUGUGAUCUGUUAUUGUCUUUGUUCGCAUGUGUGUGUAUUUAAGAAGAACCCACAAUUUUCGAGAUGAAUAUGGUGUGAGGUCCUGGAUAGAUUGCUCAUUGUGAAACUUGAGCGUUCCAAGUUUGAAAGAAGCAAUUAGUGCAACGGAACGGAAGAGUGAAGGACUUAUAAGAAUGCCUAACUGCCUACUAUUUCAAAAGAAGAAAUGUGUGUAAUUAUUUGCAGUGUUCAAAUCUUCUAAACUGAAUUCUUGGCUUGAAGUGAUUUUAUUUUGUGAUGGUAUUUGAUUGUGCAAUACACUUCUGGACUUGGAGUUUUAAGAUGCUGUCUUUGGAUGACGGGUGCAGAAGCCCUUGUUGCAUUUCUAAUCAAUGUAUUGCAUGCAGCCUUGUAACAAAUGUGGCCUAUGCAAAUUUAGUGCAGAGAAUUUUAGUGAUGUGAAUUUGAAGAAGAUUUUCAUGUUUUUUGUAGCAUUCAUGGAAACAUUAUGGAAGACAUUAUUUAGUAAAUCUAAUUGAUAAAACUAUUCAAUUUUCAUUCAUAAUUUUACUUAAGUUUAUGGGUUUCAUGACUCUCCUUCUUUUUCUUUUUCUAUGGCUUUGUUUAAGAUUUUAAUAAAUUUUCUUCAUUAUCAAUCCUAUACUAGGUCUAUAUAGCCAUGGGACACAUAUCCAAUGAUGCAAUUAGUUUCUUUAUUUUCAAUGCUGAAAGAUAUUCUUAUUUAAACAUUUAACAAUGAUUGUAGCCAUAAGAUAAGAUUAGUAGAAAUUAUAACCAUUAAAAGAUUUCAAACAUGGUGCUCUUCUAAAAAAAAUAAUCAAAAUUUAGCAUUUGAUAUUUCUAUGAUUAUGCAAACUAUCAAAUCUAAAAGAUUAUGAAGGAUAUGAAUCUCAAAGAAGUAAAAGUUCAAUACACUCUAAUGUGACUUGACAUAACUAAAGAAUCAUUCAAAGAUAAUAUAAUAUUAAACUAGAAUGGCUACUGCCAAAGACGAAAAAACUAGAAAGACUUGAAAGAAGACUAAGGACUACAAAGGCAUUGACAAGAGUAAAGAGAAUUUUAUUCUUGCCUCCAUAUAUACUAUCCAACUAAAAGCUAUAUGGUGACAUUCUAUAGGACAUCCAACAUGUGUCCAAUUUGCAAGAGACAUGACUUAAUUUGCAAGACAAAUUCUAUAUAUGCAUGCCAUAUUGUUAGCUUGUACUACAAACUAUCCACAUAUAUAACACAUGGCUAAUUUAUUAGUCAAGUUUUUAACCUACUAAUCAACUAUAAAUACAUAUAAAGUCAAAUACAUACUUAUGAAGGACUAAGAAGUUUUACCACAAGAUAAUAUUAGAUUUAUUUAUAUUUAUCUUCUAUCUAACACUUCUUAUCUAGAUAAAUAUAUAUGUCUUUAAUAUUAUCCCUUCUUCUAGGAACAAGUUCUAUGAGGAAAAGGUCAUAAUAUAUUGAGAAAGUCCAAGAUGUGGCCAAUUGUAUUUGUCACAUAUUUUGAUCUUUAUUUUCUUUGAAGGUGAUUGAUAGAUCUUCUUAGACAUUGAUAAUAUUUCAUUCCACAGCAAGAAGACCAUCCUAUUAUUUAGUCAUUGUUGAAGUCUUUGUAACUUCCUUCAAGCAAAAUAUUUGUAACACCAUCAAGACUCAUUCUUACUUCUAAUACAAUCAUCAAUCAUCAAGAAAUUUUCCAAUGUCAUGAUACCAAGCAUGUUGUAUCUCGCCAUCUAUUCAAGAAAGAACUUGUCAUUCUUGAGAAUCUUCAUCUUCAUUAUAUCUUCUUUAAGGCUAUGAAAAUUAUAAUAUUUUAUUUAAUAAAUCAUCAAAUAAUAGCUCUUGAGUUGAAUCUCGUAGUUUUUGGUUUUUUAUUUCUUUAUUGCUACAAAUACACAUAAAUUACAAAUAAAGGUAGAAAAUAAAAUGAAAUAUUUUUUAAACUAUUUUUUUUUUAUAGCAAAGAUGUAUUAUUCUUCAUCUUGAUUUGAUUGGAUAUUAUCAAUAAAAAGUAUCAACCUUCUUUCUUGUAUUUGUAAGAUUCUUAGCUGGUUCCUAUAUGCAUUCACUUAUAUCAUAUUUAUAUCAAUAAACAAGAUAUUUCAAUCUAUUUUGACGCCACCUAAAGUAUAAGACUCUUUCCAUAUCUAAUUCUUAAUUAUUAUUUACUUCUACAAGAUGAAGUAGCAUUUAUCUUCUUUCCAAGAUAUUCACUCCCUCAUAUAACUCAAGUAGAGAUAUAUAGAAUAUAAAAUGGAUCUUCUUAGACUUUAAUAGAUGUAAUUGAUAUACAAUUAGAUUGAUUUGUUCACAAAUAGGAAAUAGUCUAAAUCUAUAAUAAUCCAACUUAUUACAAAGGUGACUAGCCUUGAUAUUAUAACAAAGUAAUCAUAUCUUAUUGCUAACAUAGAAUUGAAGUUUCUUCUUACAAUAAGCAUUUACAUUGGUUUAUUUUUAUUUUUGAGCUUCUUUUAGUUGUGCCUUCAUUAUUGUAUAUAUCUCAGAUAAAGAAUUUGUUAAAUCUUCUACCACAGGAUUAACAACUUUUGAAAAGUCAAAAGCAUCAAGUUAUAAAUAAUAACCAUAGUAAGUAAAAAAUGAUGUUUAUUACAUAAAAAAAUAUAAUAUUAUUAUAAUCAAAUUUUAUCAAUAAUCAAAGAAUUAUUCAAUCAUCUUAUUGGUAGAUGAUACACCAUAAAUAUCGCUUUAAAAUUAGGUUUACAUACUUUAUUUACUUAUUGGUUUGAGGAUAAAAAGCCAAAGAUAGCUUUAUAUCCACCUUUAAAAUCUUAAAAAGGAUUUUUCAAAAUCUUGAUAUAAAUUGAGCCUCCCUAUCUGAUAUAAUAUCCUAAAGUAAUCCAUGAUAGCAAUAGAUAUUGUCAAGAAAUAGCUUAGCUAUUUCUUCACCAAUAAUAAUCUUCAUAAAAUAAUCUACUAUCACAAAUGUAGAAUUAUACAAAUUUGAGAUUAAAAGAUUUGUGAUAAAAUCCAUAGAAAUUAAAGACCACAAUUGUUCUAAAAUAGGUAAUGCUUGGAGAAGUCCAUAGGAUUGAUGAUGAAAAGUUUUUGAACUUAAACAAACGUUAUAUGAUUAUAAAAAGUCUUUGAUUUCUUUUUAUAUUUUAAGCUACCAAAAAUCUUUUGAUAUUAGCUCAAAAGAUUUGUUGUAUUCAAAAUAUUUGGCCACUAGAAAGUCAUGAUAAGCUUAAAGAAUAUAUAAUUGUGCUUUGUCUUUUAGAAUAGAUAAUCAUUCUUUAAAAUAAAAUAUAUUGUUCUUGAAUUCAAUCUUAAAAAUUUCAUAAGACUAAAAAUAAUUAUUUUUAAUACCAUAAAAAAAUGAUCAAAAGACAUACUUAAUUGAACUUAUUUUUGAAAGAUCAAAUCAAUAGUUAAUGUUGAUUUCAUUUAUCAAAGAUAAAAAUAUUCUAAUUUCAAGAGAAUUAUUCUUUGUUGAUCAAAAGUUAUAUUUCCUUAUUUGGAUGCAAGAUAAGAAUAUUUAAAAAGAUCAUCAAACAAAUCUUAUUAUUUUUUGAAUCAAUAAUUGAUCUUAAAAUCAAAUCUUCAUAAAAACAUGUUCCAAUAGCUUCAAAUCAUGUAUCCAUAUGAAGUAUUUAAAUUUCUUAUAAUUUAUAAACUUAGUGGCUGGACUAAAAGUAGCUUUUAAACAAUGAUAUCAUUCUUGAAAUGAAUCUAUGAUUGCAAGAAGUUCUUUGUCAUAGAUCUUAUAAUUAAACCUCGAUGUUGAAAAUUUCUUCAAAUAAAAAGUUACUAGGUGGAUCUUAUGAUUUCUUCCUAUUUGUGAUAAUACUGCACCUAUAUCAAUAUCUAAUGCAUUUAUUUUCAUAAAAAAUAUCUUAAAAAAUUAACAUGAUACAAAAUUGGUGCUUAAAUAAAUGUUGUCUUCUAAGCUUCAAAAGAUGCUUCAAUUUCUUUUUUUAAGUUUUUUUUUACAUGUCAAAUAUAUAAGAAGAGUCACAACUUGAAAAAAGUUCUUAAUAAAGAUUUGAUAAUAAUUGAUAAAUCUCAAAAAAUAUUACAUGUCUCAGAUUUUUUUUGAAAUCUUCCAAUCUAUGAUAGUCUAAACUUCUUAGGAUCUUUUAUAAGACCAUUAUUUGAAAUAAUUUAUCUUAAGAAAUCAACUUGAAUAGUGAGAAAUAGAUACUUUUUUUUUAUCUUGGUAUAUAAUCAUGUAUUUAUAAGUUUUUGUAGCAUGUGAUAAAUAUAAAGUUCAUGCUUCUAUGUUCUUAGAAUAGAUAAAAUAUCAUCUUAAUAAUCUACCAUAUAAUCAUUAAAAAACUCAUAAAAGACAUCAUUUAUCAAAAAUUGAAAUGUAGCUAGUAUAUUUUUGAGCCAAAAAGACAUCAUAUUAUAUUUGAAAUAUCCAUAUUUAGUUUAAAUUAUAAUCUUUUAUUCAUCUCUUUUUUUGAUGCAUAUUAGAUUGCAUAUUCUUUAUAAAUCUAUUUUUAUAUAAAUUUUUACUUCAUUGAAUUGAAAAAAAAAUUCUAAAAUAAAAGAUAGAAUAUAUCUAUUCUUUAUGGUGAUCUUGUUGAAUCUUUGAUAGUCAAUACAUAUUUACAAAAAAUUGUCUUCUUUUUUUAUAAAUAAAGAUAGAAGCUCCUAUUAGAGAUUUAGAAUGAUAUAUGAAGUUUUUAGCAAAGUUCUUAUAAAUAUAUGCUUUGAAUGGAGUCAACUUAUUUUAUGAUAAACUAUAAAUUGGUCCAAAUAGUUGUUGAAUUUUAUCUUGAAGAUCAAUAGAAUAGUCUUAAGAACAAUGUUCUAUAAAAAUAUCUAUAUUAUUUUUCUCAAAAAUAUCUUAUUAAUCUUAGUACUAGCUUGAAAUAUGACUUAAAGUCUUUUCUCUAUUAAAUAGGUGUGGCAUAUAUAACAAAAGUUGAUUGUUCUUUUGCCAUAUGCAUAAAAGAUCUUUUACCUAUCAAUUAGAAUUUGGUUGUUUUGGAUUUAUGGAUUUCUACAUAACUAGCAGAAUCCUAGUCCAAACUACAAAAAAUGUCAAUAAUACAAGAAGUCCUAUCUAUUUUAGAAUGAUAUUUUUUUAUCCAAAAUAAUUCUAAAAUAAUUGAAUUGGAUGGAAAUCUAAUAACAUUAAAUAUUACUAAGCUAUUAUAAUCUUUAUUUUUUAUAUUUAAAGGAAGAAUUUUAUAUGUAAUGUCUUUAGAGGACGAUGAACAACUAUUUAUGACUACAUGCAUGGACUUAUUUUUCUUGACUAAAGAUAUUUCUUGUUAUUUAAUAAAAGAUUUAUCUACAAAACAAGGUAAGUGAAACAAGACUAAUCUAUUUUGAGAGUGUAAGACUCUUGAAAUCUACAAUCACAUAAAACCUCAUCACAAAGUAGGACAAAAUGGACCAAAAUAAAAUUGAACAGAAGUAAAUAAAAUAAGACAUGAAAGAUAAAACUGUAUAAACAAAAAUAAAACAAAAUAGAAUUGAAAAUGAAGAUGAAAAACCAAAAUUUAGUAAGAGAAAAGAUCCAAAGUCAUACUUGACUAGAUGCCAAGAAGGCCAUGGUCAGUCCUAUUUAUAUUUUCUUCUAUUAUCUUAGACUUUCUAGAAUGUUUCUAAAUGAUGCACCUUAUUUAGAUAAUCUUCCUAAGCUUUUUUUAAAACAUUCUAUGGUAGGCUCUACUUAAAUAACCGCCCUCAACUCUUUUUAGAAUGUUCUUUAGUGGAUUUUGUGAAUCAUCAAAUCGACUCACUAGUUGUUUUAGUUGGUUUAAUAUUUUUUUAUUUAUUAUUGAGUAUCGAGGAAUAUUUAUUAAGGUCAAUAUUUAUAUUAGCCUUCAAUCUAUACAUAUUAUUUAUAAAAAAAUAUAAAUAUUAGUUAAUAAUUAAAAGAAGCAUGAGAAAGAACUUCAUGUCUUUUUAGGUGUUUGUAUAAAAAAUAAGAUUUAUAGUAGAUUUAAAUUAAAUUUAUUAUUAUAAAAAAAAUCAUCAAGAUAAUAAAGUACAGCUUCAAAUUUAUUUUAAUAUUAUAGAAAUAUUAUAAGAAUUUUUAGAAUUUAUUUAAAAUUUAUUUAGAAUUUAUUUAGGAAUUUUGAGAAUAAUUUUCAAGACUUUGAUAAAAAUGAGUUUUACUACUUCGGAAGCCAUUAUGAAGAAAUAAAAUAAGAUUUGAAGGCCACAUCAAGCUUCUAGGCUAAUUGGAUGUUUUAAAUACCAUGGUGAAGUCAAAAAUGUAAAAUUAUUGGUUUUACUAGUAGAAAGUAGGAGGACCAGCAGCUAAUAUAGUCCUUGUAAGAAGGGAGGUGCACCAGUCCCAUAUGGGUUGUAGCACCUUGAAGGUAGUUAGGAAGAUAAGACUAAGGCCUCACAGACUCUCUUAGCUCUACUUGUGAGCCUUGGUGAGGCUCGAACUCAUGAUCUCUUAAGCAAGUUAUGUUAAAGGUUGUGAGUGUAAAUUUUUAUUCCUCAACUCAAGUUACAAGAUGGCCUCAAUUAAGAGUUGCUUGUAAUUGGUGGUGUAGAUUGAAGUAAAAAAAUGACAAGAACAAAAAUAGAACAACCACAAAGAAAUUGAAAUAAAUGAUAUGAAAUAAUAACAACACUCAAAACUAAGUCAUAGAUUGUUUAUUGUAUUUUCAUCCAAUAAAAAAUAGAAGUAAAAAGUAAAAAAUAUAUUUUUAGAUAGAUAAUUUUAUUGUCUUUUUAAUGAUAUAAGAAAUAUAUAAAUUAAAAUUAUUAUAAAUAAGUUAUGAAGUUUUAAAGAUAAGAAGUAAAUAAUUAAAAUUACUAUAAAUAAGUUAUGAAGUUUUAAAGAUAUGAAAUAAAUAAUUAAAAACUAAAGUAAAAAUAUUUUACUUCAAAGAUAAUUUAUUUAUAGAUCAAGGCUUCGAGCCUCACAAAGGUUCACAUGUAAUAUAUAUGGGUGUCUAAGAGAGGCCAUGAGGUCUUAGUCUUAUCUUCCUAACUACCUUCAAGGUCCUACAAUCCACAUGGGACUUAUGUACUUCCCUUUCUACAAGGACUACAUUAGUUACUUGUCUUCCUAUUUUCUACUAGAAGGACCAAUAUUUUUGCAAUUUUGACCUCAUGAUGGUAUUCAAAAACACUCAAUUACCUUACGAACCUUAUGUGGCAUUCAAAUAUUGGUCCAUUUCUUCAUAAAGGCUUCCAAAGUAAUAAAACUCAUUUUUACUAAGAUCUUAAAAAUUACUCUAAAAAUUCCUAAAACAUUCUAAAUAAAUUCUAAAAACUUCUAAAAAAUUCUAAAAUAUUUCUAUAUUGCUAAUAUCCAUCUAAGGCUAUAUUUUCCUACCUUGGUGAUUUUUGAUAAUAAUAAAAAUUAAUUUGAAUCCACAAUAAAUCAUAUUUUUUAUAUCAAUAAUAAAAAUGACAUGAGGUUCUUUCUCAUGCUUCUUCUAACUACUAAUAUUUAUAGUUUUUAUAAGUAGUACAUAUAGAUAGAAGUCCAAUAUAAAUUUUGGUCUUAAUAAUAAUCCUUAAUAUUCAAUGAUAAAUAAAAAUACUAAAUCAACAUAGAUAAUUGCCUCCAAAACUUACUAAGACUCCAUUUCCGCCACUAACAUUUUAAUUUUCUAUUUCUCUAAGGACUUCUACACUAUUCACCAUAUAUUAUGAUUUAAAGUAUUCUAAAUUCAUAUUUUUAUCCUAAAACAAUAAUUAAGUCAAUUUGAUGAUUCAUAAAGGUAAAAAUUAUUUAUUUAAAUUUUUAUUUAUUUACUUGUUAUUUUUCAAACCUUCAUAACUUAUUCAUAGUAACUCGGAUUUAUAUAUUUCUUAUACCAUUGAAAAGAUAAAAAUCAAAUUUUUAAAAAUAUAUUUUUUAAUUUUAUUUUUUAUUUUUUAUUAGAUGAAAACUCAAUGAACAGACUAUAACUGGUUUUGUAAUGUAUAAUUGCUUGAUUGUACUUAUUCUACUUGUUUUUUUGUUUUGCUUCAUUUGUUCUUGUUCUUGCUACUUUCACUUCAUACCACCCAUGACAAGUAACUCUUAAUUGAGGCCAUCUUGUUAUUAAGUUGAAGAGUGAAUUUUAUACUUACAAGUUUCAUAUGAUCCACUAACCUAGCCCUAAUUCUAGAAACUUCCAUAACUUCUCAAGCAUAGUUUCAACUAUCUAUCUCUAUGUGUCAAUAAUAUAAAUAUCUUAUUUAUACCGUGUUAGUGUUAAUCUCCCUCCACUAAUAUAAAAUGUCCUCAUUUUGCUUCCAAUGGUAUCUCGAAAUUGUCUUUUGGCAAUGGAUGAAGUUAUGUGUAGGUUCCUACAUUGUAUCAUAGAUGGAAUAAACUUUUGAAAGAACUUUGUACUGAAGUUUUGGACGUCCAUUGCCAUAGCAAAGGUAUUGAUGCUCUAAAAUCUUAUAUACUUCAUAUUUUUAUUGGUCAUCAACUACAACUGGUGGUAGUAUUGAUUGAUAUUAAUUCAAAAAGCACUUUGGCUCAAUAUGAAAUUUCUUCAAUUGCAAAACAUAGAAGAUUGGAUGGAUCCGAAUAUGUGGUGAAAGCUUGAGGCGAUAUGUAAUAUAAAAAAUCUCUAUAGAAAUAAGAAAAUGUCGAAGCUACUAAAGUGUCAAUUUAUGGAUUUUGGUUGAUGUAGCAAGUUGCAAGUUGAUAUUAGAGAAUAACACUUGGUCACUUUCUCAAAAGAUCUUGUAUUGUCGAUGGCUAUCCACAUAUUAUUUUUGUCAAUUUUGUGUGAUAAAGAGGGGAUGUUGUGCUUCUUGUAAGGCCAUUGUAAGCCUUUAUAUAAACUCCUAUGUUGUUGGUUUGUUGAUAUCAAUGGAACAAUAAAAAGUUUUUAGCGUAAUUAGAUGCUAAUUGAUAUUAAAAAAAAUAUUGAAUGACUAAUACUUGCUUGAAUAUUACUAUUGUAAGCAAACUUUGAGGGUGUCUGUCACGGACACAAAAUACAGACUUGAAAUCUAACAAGAAGUUCAAGAAGAAGUGGCAGAACUAGAUUAAACAGAUGAGUACAAGAACAACACCAGAAGGGUGAGCUAGAACUCCAAGAGAUGUGUUGUCGAGACUGAAGAACCCUUCAGCCUCGACUCCUAUAUAUACUACUGAAUAGGAAGCUUCUCGAGCUACUUCCGCUAACUAGGACGCUUCUCCAACAACUUCUACUAAUUAGGAAACUUCUCGAGCAACUUUCUAGAAUCUAUCAGAAUAUUCUAGAACCUUCUAAGAGAAUCUUUAGGGAAUAUUCUAAGAAUAUUCUAGAACCUUCUAAAGGAAUAUUUAGAGAAUCUUUAGAGAAUAUUCUAGAAGAAUAUUCGAAGAAUCUUCCAAUGUAUGUCCAUGACAUCACCUCCUCUUCUAACUUCGAGGUCUCCGAGAAGCAAUGUUGUUAUCAGUCAAUACCAACGCAAGAAAAUGAAAAUCUGUCGCAUCACAUCCGCUAUGAAUUCCAAUUGUUGUUCGCGAGGCAAAUGAUUCAUCGGCCCUUCGAGCCAACGGUAGUGACCAACACCUUCAACCUCUGACUAAGCGUGGACUUCUGUGUCUUCAUUGUGAAACUGUCCUCCAAACACACCUUCUGGCUGACCGUCGUAGGCAGGCUCGACCUCAAAUACAAUUACUAGCGAUCUGUUGCUCGGUAUCCUCCGACGUCGUCGUGGUGCAGGCGGUUCUUCAUCUCGCGGUCGUCUUCGUGAGCUAGUCGCUUGAGAUGACAUAACAAGUGUAGUAUCUUGACUAUCCAUGUCCAAAGGCUAAAAUGAUGAGAGCAAACUAUAGUUGCUAACAAAGUUCUACACUAUCGAACUAUGGGUUUUGGAGGUGCCCUCCCCCCUUUUUAUGCUACUUGAUGAACAAGCUUCAGCAAGAAGCUAUCGUUGAAUCGGCUUAGGUUUAUGAGGAUAUCGUUGAUGAAAUUCUUGUACCUUUUUUGGUGCAUUGGCAAGAUUUUUGGCACGCUCCCACGUUCGUUCAUUGAUAUCGUAUCCACUCCAAUGCACUAAAUACUCCAAUUUUCUCCUAUUACGCCGUGAAUCUAGUACCUUUUCCACCUCGUAUUCCUCAUGGUUUUCAAUUUCGAUACUUGGUGGCGGACUUUGUACUCUUUGGAGAAAAGCUGACUCUCGAUAAGGUUCCAACAAAGACACAUGAAAGACUGGAUGUACCUUCAUAGUAGCUGGUAACUCCAGACGAUAUGCCACCGGAUUGAUCUGCUUCUCGAUAACAAAUGGCCCUAAUCUUCGAUAGUCCAAUUUGUCACAUGGCCGCUUGGUCUUGAUAUUCCGUCGAAGAAGCCAUACUUUACUUCCAACUUUAAAAGUAGGCGCCUCAUUUCGAUAUUUAUCUGCAGAUGCCUUGUAACUCUCUUGGGCAGAUUGCAAUUGAAGCUUCAACGUCGCUUGAAGCUCCGAUAGUUGCUUCACAAAUCCUUCAGCUGCUGGGUUGUUAUUUGCUGAAGAACUCAAUAAAUCGAGCUUGGGGUGGUAUCCGUAGUUGGAGAAGAAUGGUGUUUGUUGAGUUGACGCAUGAAGAGUGUUGUUGUAUGCGAACUCAGCAAGCGGUAGAUAUGCAGUCCAAUCAUCUUGUUGAUAGUUGAUGCUGCAUCGUAAAUAUUGCUCCAAAACUUGAUUCACCCGCUCCGUUUGACCGUCAGUUUGAGGAUGAAAAGCCGAAGAGAGCUUAAUAUCCACCUUCAAUAUCUCAAAGAGGGACCUCCAAAACUUGGAUACAAACUGAGUACCUCGAUCCGACACGAUAUCAUCUGGUAGGCCAUGAUAACGAUAUAUGUUAUCAAGAAAGAGUCUUGCGGUGUCUUCACUUGACGAUGUUUUCUUGCAAGGCACGAAAUGCGCCAUCUUUGUAAAUCGAUCCACCACAACAAAGAUGCUGUCAAAUGAAUUCGAUGGCAGUAGGUCCGUAAUGAAGUCCAUAGAAACUGAAGACCAUGGUCGGUGCGGAAUAGGCAAUGGCUGGAGAAGUCCAUACGGACGAUGUCGAGGGAUCUUGGAUCUUGAACAAACAUCACAAGAAAGGACAAAUUCCUUCACAUCCUUCCACAUUUGGGGCCACCAAAAAUCUCAUGAAAUGAACUCCAAAGUCUUGUUGAAUCCAAAAUGUCCCGCAACUGGAAAGUCGUGGCGAGAUUGAAGUACUCGGAGUCGAGUUGGUCCUUUCGGGAUAUACAACCGCUCCUCAAAAUAUAGAAGAUCUCCCUCCACCUUAAACUUGUCAUUAUCGACACGUUGUUUGAUGUCAAGAGCUAUAGAAUCCUCAAUGGUCGCAGUACGUACCUCGCUCAGGAAGCCGUCAUCGAUAGUUGCAACAGUAGCAAAAAUCCUGAAUUUUUCUGGUUUCAACAAUGUUGUACAUUGUUGAUCAAACGCUGCUUCUCCAGCCUUUGGCGCAAGAUACGAUCUCCUCGAUAAUGCGUCAGAUAAUCCUUGCUGUUUUCCAGGGCGGUAGGUGAUAAUAAAGUCAAAUCGUGAUAGAGACAUAUUCCAUCGAGCUUGACGACGAUUCAAAAUUCGAGCUGUCAUGAAGUACUCCAAAUUCUUGUGGUCCGUAUAAACAGUCACUGGAUGUGCAGCUCCUUCGAGGAAGUGACGCCACUCUUCGAAGGCAUCCACUAUAGCAAGCAGCUCUUUGUCGUGGAUCUCGUAGUUGAUCUCAGCAGCAGAGAACUUCCAUGAAUAGAACGCAACUGGGUGAAGCUUCUUGUCUAUGCCCAUCUGUGAAAGCACAGCUCCCAAAGCAAAAUCUGAAGCAUCGGUCUCUAAAUAGAAAGCCUUUGCAAAGUCAGGGUGUACCAAGAUUGGAGCCGUAGUGAAUGCCGUCUUGAGAUCUUGAAAUGCUUUUGCUGCUUGUGAUCCCCAUUCGAGCUUGUCUUUGCUUGUUAGACGCGUGAGUGGUGCAGCAACUUGAGAAUAAUUCUUGAUGAAGAUCCGAUAGAAGUUAGCAAAUCCAAGAAAACACUGAACAUCUCUAACCGUCUUCGGAACUUUCCAAGAUAUAAUUGCUUCUACCUUUUUUGGAUCCAUCUUCAAGCCCUCUGUAGUCGCAAUGAAGCCCAAAAAUUCCAUCUCAUUCUGGUGAAAUUGACACUUCUCCAACUUGACGUAGAGUCCUCGUUCGCGUAGUUUUUCAAGAACCAAACAAACGUGCUUCUCAUGUUCUUCUUCAUUCUUGGAAAAUAUCAAAAUAUCAUCCAGAUAGAUGACAACAAAGUCAUCGAGGUACUCCCGAAAGAUGUCGUUCAUCAUAUGCUAAAAGACCGGUGGAGCAUUGGUAAGACCAAAAGGCAUGACAUUGUACUCAAAAUGGCCAUACCUUGUACGAAAGGCUGUCUUCCAUUCAUCUCCUUCUUUGAUUCGCACAAGGUUGUAGGCUCCUCUUAAAUCAAUCUUUGUAAAAAUCCUUGCACGUCUAAGUUGAUCUAAGAGGCCGGAGAUCAAAGGUAAGGGAUAGCGAUUUUUCUUGGUCACCUUGUUGAGUCCUUAGUAGUCCACGCACAUCCGCAGUGAGCCAUCCUUUUUCUUCACGAAUAGGAUUGGUGCUCCAGCUGGCAACUUUGAAUGUCGAAUAAAAUUCUUGGCUAGAUUCUCAUCAAUGUACUUCCGCAAUUCUGCCAACUCCGUCUGCGAUAGGUUGUAUAUUGGACCAAAAGGUGGUUGCGCUCCUUCCUCUAAGUCUAUGGCGCAAUCAUAUAGUCGAUGUUCCGGCAGUAUAUCGGCGUUCUUCUUCUGAAACACGUCUUCAAAAUCCCUAUAUUGCUCUAGUAUAUUCGAUGUUGAGAUAUUCUCGCCGCUAGUUGGAGCUGCAUAAAUGACAAAUGGUGCGCCUUCCUUGGACGAUCUUAGGAACGCUCUCGCUCCAAUAAACAUGGAUUUCUUCAUGUAGGUUCUACCAACAGGUUUAUUAUUAUUUUUUUCAGGAAAUGUUAUCCUUCGUAGCCUCCAAUCAAUGGACGGAUUAUGAUCUUCUAACCAAGAAAGACCAAGGAUAACAGGGCUUGAUGGGGUUCUAAUAAUAUUAAAAAUAACGUGACUACUAUGGUCCUUAAACACCACUUCUAUAGGUUCUGAUUCGUGGGUAACGUUGCCUGACAAUAAGGGUCGUCCAUCUAUCACCUCUACGUGAACAGGUUUGGACUUCUAUACUAAACGGAUCUUGUGGCGUUUAGCAAACUCUUCAUCUAAAAAACAAGUAGAUGCCCCCGAAUCCAAUAAAGCUAAAGUUUUUUGUUUUUGAGGGCCUAAAAACAAAGGAAUUGUAAAACAACGGGCAGGUUGGACAGAGAAGGAGGAACUUGAUUGUUGUCGUGAUAUUAGAUUGUCCAGCCGCACGGUUCCUACUGUGGCUGGGCAUCGUCGUUUUCCGGAAUCAUCGCACUUCUAGUCUUGACAAGGUGCCAAUUUUGCUUCUUUGGGCAAUUUCCAACCUUGUGACGUUCUUCUCCACAGUACAAACAUAACCCUUCCUCCAUACGCCGUUUCUUCUCUGUUGGAGUAAGAGAUCGGACACGCGCCGUGUCGAUUUACAUGUCUGUUGCCUCCGAAUGUGAGUUUAAGCUAUUUGCAGACAUAGUCACGUCGUAACGAGUCAUUUGGUGUCUUGGACGUUGGUCUUGGCGACGCUGGAAUAGGCGGUUGUCACACUUUACAGCUUGGCUAAUAGCUUCGUUGAGCGUUUGAGGAUCAGGAAGAGAUAACAACAAGUCCUUCACAUCAUCCUUCAAGCCCCAAUAAAACUGACUCACCAACGCCUCUUCACCCCAAUUAAUGUCACUUGCCAAUUGUCUGAAAUCCGAGGCAUAGACUGAUGCAGAGCGUGUUCCUUGUCGUAGCGAUUGGAUCUUUGUUGUAGCCCAUCGAACUUUAUCAUGCUCGCCAAAUGCUUCUGCAAAUGCCUCCAAGAACGUUUCAAAGUUGCUCAGGAUUGGCAAUCGCUUCUCGAACAAGGGAGUAAACCAAGACAGAGCUUGUGCUGUAAGCAAGGUUCCAACAAGCCCAACACGCGCUUCCUCCGUCGGAUAACAUUCGGGCUGUAAAAUUGUUAUCAACCUGAUUUGGUUGACAAAACCUCGAAACUUGGAACGAGUUCCAUCAAACUUAUCCGGAAGACUAACUCGAGGCUCCUUUCGUUGUAGGACUACUCGAUCUUAUUGAAAUGGAGGUAGAACUGCUUCUUCUGGCGCAGAAGUUUAAGGUUGAUAUGCUUUAGAUGGCGCUAUCCCAGAUGCUCCAUUGUUAUGGAGUCCUACCAUGACUCCUUCGAUCUCUGUUGUCCUAUGUGACAACGAGGCAAGAGCAUUUAUGAUGGCGUCUAGUUUGGAUUCCAAACUUUCAGCCAUUUUAACGUCUUAACCUUCGGCUAACCUUCAGAAAGAAGAAAAAAGAGUUUUGACAAGAGGACAAUAUUGGUUCAGAGGAGAGUACUCCGCAACCUCUAAAACGCCUUAAGACUCCAAGAUGAAGGGUAAUCCACUCUCUCCAAGAAGAAUAAGGCUUCAAUAUUGAGAAAGAAGAGAUAUCAGUUUAGAGGAGGGUAAUCCGCAACCUCUAAAACACUAGCACACCUUCAAGAAGAGGGGUAAUCCACUCUCUAACAAGAAGGAACUAGCUCUGAUACUAGUGAAAAUGCAGUCUCGACAAACUGUCACGGACACAAAAUACAGACUUGAAAUCUAAUAAGAAGUUCAAGAAGAAGUGGCAGAACUAGAUUAAACAGAUGAGUACAAGAACAACACCAGAAAGGUGAGCUAGAACUCCAAGAGAUGUGUUGUCGAGACUGAAGAACCUUUCAGCCUCGACUCCUAUAUAUACUACUGAAUAGGAAGCUUCUCGAGCUACUUCCGCUAACUAGGACGCUUCUCCAACAACUUCUACUAAUUAGGAAACUUCUCGAGCAACUUCCUAGAAUCUAUCAGAAUAUUCUAGAACCUUCUAAGAGAAUCUUUAGGGAAUAUUCUAAGAAUCUUCUAGAACCUUCUAAAGGAAUCUUUAGAGAAUAUUCUAGAAGAAUAUUCGAAGAAUCUUCCAAUGUAUGUCCAUGACAGUGUCAAGUAUUCAUCUUAGUCAUUAUAAUGAAGUACCACAAAUACCUUUAGCAUAUCUUCUAAGGUCUGAUUUCUAUGCUUUGUUUGUCUACCUAUUUAGAGAUCAAAGACAUUACACAUGAUAAGUCGUGAGCUUGAACAAAGCUUGCCAAAAGCUUCUCAUAAAAUAUGGAACUUGAUUUGAAACAAUGACAUGAGAUAAGCUAUGGUGACAAAAAAUAAUAUCAAAGAAGGUUCACGCAAGUACUAGGGCAUCAAUAUUUGAGCAUACUGUAGUUAAGUAAAGUUGCUUCAAAAGUCAAUCUACAAAGACGGCAACCAUAAUGUGAUUAUGAGGCGUUUGUGACAAACAUGUAAUGACAUUCAUAGUCACUUGCUUCCAACAUGCUGUAAAUAGUGGAAUUGACUACUAUAGUUCAAAAUACGUUGUAUUGUGUGCUUUAUUACAUUGACAUGACUUGUAGAAAUGCACAAAAGUUCAAACAUUACAAUCUAAACAUGCCCAAAAUAAAAUCUUUGAGAUCUAUUCUAGAGUCUUUUCUUACCCUAGAUAUCUAGAUAUUGGGAUAUCAUGUCCAUCUUGAAGUAUGUGCAUCUAAAAUAUAGUAUUGUUAGGUAUAUAAAUUUACUUCUUGAAAUAGAGUAAGCCAUCACUAAGAUUGUAAUCUGCAUACCGUAUAUCAUCAACCUUCAAUCGAUCACUAACCAUUUUAAAAUAAGCAUCCUAAUGUACAAUUUUUUUCUAUUUUACUUCUUUGGUUAAAUUUGAAAUAACUCUACUAAUGGUAGCAACUUUUGUCUUGUCUCUUAAUUCGGUCUUUAAGUUUGGUCUCCGCAAUAAGCUAUCUCACACAAUAUGUUAUUGCCUUGUUUAUACUCAAACUAGAUAUAAAAAAAACUGCAAUUUUUCUUCUUAACAACAAUGCCAUAAUUUUAUAUUUUCUAAAUGCAAAUUAUAUAGUAAGGAUUGAUGGUUAGUUCAAACAACCAUUGGCUUCUCCAAUAGAUAGUAUCGCCAUUUCUUUAAGUCAUGUACAAUUGCUAAUUGCUCUCAAUCACGUAUAGAGAAAUUAUGCUCUAUCUUUUUGAGCUUGGAUGAUUUAUAUGCCUUAAGUUGAAGGCCCCUAUUAAAGUCUUUUUGAAAGAUCAAUGUAAUAGUAAGGUCAAAAGCAUCAAUGUCAAGUGUACAAGGAAGAUUAAAAUCAUAUAAUUACAAUAUAAGAGUAGUAAUGAGUACAUCCUUCAAUCUAUCAAAGGUACUUUGCUGCUCCAGUUUCUAUUCAAAUAGGGCAUCUUUCUCUAAUAGGUUUGUCAAUGAGGUAGCUAUGUGUAUAAAUCAUUGAACAAAAUGGCAAUAAUAUCUAAUAAGACCUAAAAAUGAGUAGACUUUAGAAGCAUCUUUAAGAGUUGAUUAAUCCUCUAUUGCUUUCAUCUUAUCUUGUUCCAUGCACAUGCCUUUGGAAGACAUUACAUGCCUCAAAAAGGUAGCUUUCAACUUGCAAAGUUCACAUUUUAUUUGCUUACAAUAAAAGUGACUAUCUUUGAAGGAGAUUAUCCUUACUACCUAAUCAACUUGUUUAUUUUCCACCUCCAGCUGUGGCAUAUUAAAAAUAACAUUAUAUUUUAGCUUUGUUACCUUAAACUUCUUUCUUAGGAUAUAAGUGUUUUUCAAUCUCAAGGUUUUUUCUUCAGAUGUCUCACUUAAUAUGUUCUAUUAAUUAUCUAUAAGGUAUAUACUUCCUUUCUUGAUUAUCUUAGUUUUAAUCUUAAAUUGGUUGGUAAUUUCAAUCAAGAUGCAAUUUUUUGUAGAGCCACAAUCUACAAGUACUUGACAUGGUUGUCUUUUUAAUAGUCCUAUUAGAUGUAUCAAUCGACUCUUUUUAUAGUUGAUUAAGGCCAUGCCAUUUGUGACUGAGAGAUAGUAGCUAUCUGUAGUAUUGGCCUUCGGUGCCUUUACUAGAGAGCCUUGUUUUUCUCCUCUAUCUCAUUAUCCACUUGGUGAGUCUUGACAUUGUGAAUCUAUCUCAUUUUGUUGAUGAUUGAAUUUUGACAUUUUGGACAAUCUAUAAUGUGAUGGCCUGGUUCUUUACAAUAGAAAUACAAUCCCUUUUGCACCAAUAUUUGUUAUCUUUGUGGUGUCAAUGAUCCUUAUAUGGCAUCAAUCUUCAUUGGCAUUGAUUGUUGUACCAAAGUAUUAGAUAGUAGCAUAAAACUUUGUGCUAUAGGUCGUGCUAUACGAUUUUUGAAAUCAAUAAUAUUGAUCUUCUCUGCAAUUCUAAUUGCUUCUUCAAACAUUUGUUGAUCCUUUAGCUCCACCUCUCAUUGGAUCCUAGGUUUUAUAUUUCAUAGAAAUUGAUCUAUCAUCUCUGCCUAUGAAAUAUUACCAAUUUGGAGAUAUAAAGACUUAAAUUGAGAGACAUAAUCUUGCACCAAUCUAGAUUUUGUAAGAUUUGUCAACUAAUCAUGUGCUAUCUUCUCCACAUUGAUAGGCCAAUAUUGAUUCUUGAACUAGGUCUCAAACUCCUUUCAAUUACAAAAUCUACCUUAAGCUUUAUAGCUUUGAACUUGAUAUCACCACCAAAUGGAUGCUGCAUCUUUUAAAUAAUUGGAUACAUACAUAAUUCUUUCAAUGGUAUUUUCUUUAGAUAUUUGGAAGUAUUGUUGUAUGUUGAUAAGCCAUUGACUUAUAUCUUCUUAUCUUGAAGUCUUAAAGUAUGUACUAGGCUUAGUCAAUUUCAGCCUAGAACAUGUCAAUUUUCUUAUUCAAGAGGCUUCUAUUUAUCAUUGUUAAGUAGCUAUUUGACCUAAGAGGUAUUGUAUUUGAGCCUUCAUCUAGAAUUGUUCCACCAUAUCUUCCAUGAUGUAAUUUUCUUAUUAGAUUCUACUAUUCUAAUGCCUUCUUAUCUUUUCGUUCAUUUUUUAGAAAUAAUUCAUGAUAGCUUUAAUACAAUAUCUAAUGUGACGAUAAUAAUUGACCUCAAAUCAGAUGAUGGCUAUAGACAUACUACCAAAGAAUAGUCUAACACUCCCUUUGAUACCAAUAAAAUAAGACUAGUCUAUUUUGAGAGUCUAAAUGUCUUCUAAUCUACAUCCACAUAAAAUCUCAUCACAAGGUAGGAUAUAAUGGACCAGAAUAACAAUGAAAAAAUGAACAAAAGUAAACAAAAUAGGACAAAAAAGAAAAAAUUAUGUAAAAAAAAUAGAACAAAAUAGAAUUGAAUAUAAAAAUGCCAAAGCAAAUUUUACUAAGAAAGAAGGUCCAAAGCUAUACCUAACCAAAUAGCCAAAAGUCCUUAGCUAAUUCUAUUUAUACUUGGUUCUACCACCCUACGCUUUCUAAAAUGUUCCUAGAUGAUAGACUCCUCUUAGAUAACCACCCUAAACUCCUUUUAGAAGAUUCUAUAGUAGAUCCUACUUAAAUAACUACUUUAAGCCUUUUCUAGAAGGUUCUAUGGUCGACUCUACCUAAAUAACUACCUUAAGUUCUUUCUAAAAUGUUCUACAAUUUGUCCCACAUGGUCCACUAAUCUAGCCCUAAUUAUAAAAACUUCCAUAAUUUUUCAAGUAUGGUUCCAACUAUCUAUGCCUAUGUAUCAAUAAUACAAAUAUCUUAUCUAUACCCUGUUACACUAAGGCUUUUGAAUCUAACAAGGCAAAGACUUUUUGAUUUUUUGAUCUUAAAUAAACUUCUAUUAUAAAACAAGGUGAAGGAUCUAAAAAAAAAUAUUAUCUUUAUUAGGUGUUAUAUAAGAUUUCAACCCCAUAGACUCUAUUAUAUUUGAAGAAACUUAUUUUUUGAUAUAUUAUUCUUUUUUAAUCUAUAUCAAAAUUGAUUAAUAAGGGCUUUUUCAUUUCAAUCUAUAUUAUAAGCAAGAUUUUGGAAUUCUAUAGCAUAUAUAGUGGCUAAAUAUGAUCUUUAUCUUAAAGAUAUAAGUUUGGUCUCUAUUAUCUUUUUUUGAUAUUUUUUUCUAAAAGUGGCUAUAAAUACUUCUAAGAAUGAAUUUAGAUCAUAGAAAAAACAUGAAUUUUUUUCAUCAAAGGUGUAAACCAAGAGAGAGUAUUCUUAGGGAGAAAUACACUUAUGAAUCUAACUUAGGUAAAUCCAUCAAAGUAUUGAGAAAGAUGCAAUUUUAGAUUUUUAUUUAUUACAAAAAUCUUUGAAAUCUUGAUCUUAUUCCAUCAAACUUUGUAGGCAUACUUAUCUUUGCCUCUUUCAUACUUAGAAUAAUAAGACUUCUUAGUUUUAGUUGUGAGCCUGAUCUACUUAUUUUUUUCAAUUGCACAACUUUUUGAUGUAGAAUUUGAACUUUAUUAUUGAUUUUUCCUAUAGAUAUCAAAAUACUACUUCUAUCAUUGUUGUUAGAGAUAUAAGAGAUUUCCACCCUAAGACUGUUAAUAAAUUCAUAAAAAUUUGUAAUGAUUUCAAAUCUAUUCUAAUUUUUGCAAUAAGUAGUAUCCAAAAAAAUUUCUUCUAUAAACAAUUCAAACAAAUCUAAAAAUUAAAUUAGAAGCAGAUAAUUAACAACUUCUAAUAUUAAAUGAAAGUUUUUAGAAAGAAGGCUAGUCCACUCUUUUGAAGAAAAAAAUGAAUAUUGAAAAACUAAAAGCGAAUUUAAGAAUGAAUAGUCUACAACCUUCAAAUCAUAAUAAUGAAAGUGGAAUAAUCUACUCUCUUAUAAUAAAAAAAACAAAAAAGGUGAGUUAGAAUUCUUAUCAAACUAUUAAGAAUAUAAAUCUUAAAAAACUAAAAGAUCAAUAUAUUCCAGUGUCACUUGAAAUAUUUGAAAAAUUACUCAAAGAUGGUAUGAUAUUAAAAUUAGAAUGGCUAUUGCCAAAGACAAGAAGAUAAAAAAAAUUUAAAAUAUGACUAAAGACUAGAAAAACAUUCAUAAGAAUAAAGAAGUUUUAGCUCUUGCCUCCAUAUAUAUUACCUAACUAGAAGCUAUGUGGUGAUGUCCUAUAAGAUCUCUAAUAUAUGUCUAAUUUGUAAGACAUGUUGUCUUGUUAUAUGAAAUCUUGCUUGAAAAUAUGCUAUAUACUUGGCUAUAGAAGAUAAAAAGAAAUUACAAUAAUAAGCCUUAAUUUUUUUAUUAGAAUCAUAUAUAAAUUAUAAUUAAAGCUUAAUAAACAUAAUUAAAUAUUAAUCAAGUUUAAUUGAUUUUUUAUAGAAAUUAUGAAAGAAAUAUAAAAAAAAUUCUAAAGAAAUUUUAAAGAAAUCAUAAAGAAAUAAUAUAGAAAUCCUAAAGAAAUCCUAAAAAUCUAAAAGAAAUUUUUAAAAAAUUCUAAAGAACUUCUAAUUAAAUUAUAAAAUAUUCAAAAGAAAUUUAAAAGAAUUCUUAAAGAAAUCUUAAAGAAAUUCUAAAUAAAUAAAUAAAUAAAUAAAUAAAUAAGUAACCAUAAAGAUCUGUAGUCAAAUUCUAAUGAAAUUUAAUAAAAACUUAAUCAAAUCCUAUUGAAAUUCUAAAGAAAUCCUAAUCAAAUCUGAGUAAUUCAAAUCAAUUCUAGAGUAGUUUUAGAACCUCAAUAUCUAUUGAUUAAACCAUUGAUCUUAUUUAAAAUUCCAUACACAUUUCAAUAUUUUUAUUAAAAAAAAGAAAAAAAAAAAUUGAAGAGAAUUGAACUUACAAAAUAGGAGAGAAAUAUCAUAAUAUACUUAGGUAUCAACCUACUUCCAUCUUUGAUCUUAAUAUUGAUCUUCUCUUAGGAAUAAUUCUUAAUUGAAUUGUUAUUUUUUUUUCAAAUUUUACUUAAGUAUUAGAAGUCAAGUCAAAUAUUAGUUCCAGUUAAAAUUAUUUCAAUCCAAAUGGAAAAUUGUUGCAAUUCUUAAAUAACCUUAUUAGACCUAAAAAUCCAAUUUUUGAGACCCUAGCCAACUUAAACUUCAAUAGCCUUUAAUCCAAUUGUCCAAUCAAGUUCAAAUUAACAAUAUAUGUUUAGUAUAUCUACAUACACAAACUUAUAAAAUUUUAUUUAUAGAUUUGCUAAGAAACUUAUGAAAUUUUUUAAAUUAUAAAUCCUAUUUUAUUUCACAUAAUCCAGAGUCAUCUAAAACAACCUUAAAUUUGCUAAACUCUUAUAAAGUGUUUACAAACUCAAAUUUUCCAAAUCAAAUGCUUAAAAAAAUUCUAUGAAGUCUUCUUUCAAAUCUUACUCUUUGAUUUAUAAAAGAAUCCUAUAGUCAUUGUUAGGUGUGUAAUUUUCUUUCUCAAGGUCUAAUUUUGAGCUUAGUUGAUAGCUGGUCCUCUUUUGAUAUCAAUUUUUGGUUUCUUGAGGUAGUUUUUGCUGAAAUCAACAUUUAAUUCCUUAGUAUAUAUGCCUACAUUAUUUAUUUUUCUAAUCUAUCUUGUUUUUUUUUAUUUAUGGUCCUACAAAGUAAGUAGAAGCUUACUUUGUAAAAAGGCAACAUUGAUACUUUUAGUGUAUUAUCUUUUAACUAUUAUUUAUAUUUUUGAGAUAAUUUUCUUUAAUAUUUUAAAAUAUGAUCUUCUAUAAUAUAAUAUUUUUAAAUUUUUUUUACCUUUUAGCCAUAUUACAUCAUAACAACAUGUCUUAAUUUGCAAAGCAAAUUUCUUAUAUGCAUGCCACAUUAUUAGCUUGUAACAUAUGGCUAACUUGUUAAUUAAGUUUUUAAUCUAUUAAUUAACUAUAAAUAUAUAUAAAGUCAAAUAUGUAUUUAUGAAGCUCUAAGAAGAUUUUCCAUAAGAUAAUAUUAAAUCUAUCUUUGUUACCUUCUACUUAACACUUCUUAUUUAGAAGAAUAUAUAUGUCCAUGAUAAAUAUCACCAUUCAAAUUUUAAUAUCUCUCUAUAUUUUAAGAAGUAACACUUGAUAUUUUGGUAAUAUAUCGUCAUAUUAAAUUCACCUAGCAUGUUAACUUAGCAUUCUACUUCUAUUCUUUUCAAUCUAAUAUGUUAUUUCUUAUGGCUCUAAAGCAGAUCUUGAAUCUUAUAAAUAGUAACAAAGAAAUUUAUUUUAGAAUAAAUAAAAAUAUAUUAAAGAUAAGAACUUGAUGAAAGUAAAUAAACAAGUGAGACUUUCUCAAAGAAUUAUGAAAAAAUAAAAAUAAGAAAGUAUUUAUAUUAAUAAAGAAAUUAGAAUGGCUAUUGCCAAAAGACAAGAAAAUUAGAGACGCUUGAAACUAGAUUAGAAGCAAGAAAAGAGUUGACAAGAAUGAAGAAGGCUUCACUCUUGCCUCUAUAUAUAUUAUCUACUUAAGAGCUGUGUCGCAAUAUUCUAUAGGACCUCCAAAAUAUGUUGAUUAUACACAAGAUAUUUCUUAACUUACAAGCCAAAUAUUCUAUAUGGACACCAUAUAGUUACCUUGUUUUGUAAGCUACCAACAUGUUAUUGUAUUCCAUGGCAUUUGGCUUGAGAAUGCAUUAGGCACCUAGCUGUGGAAGAUAAAAGAAAAAUUGCAACAACAAGUUUUAAUAACUCUAAUAGAUUCUUAAAUAAAUUAUAAUUAAAGAUUAGAAAAUAUAAUCAAACAUCAAUAAAAUUUAAUUAAAAUUUCAAAGGAAUUAUACAAGAAAUAAAAAGAAUUUUUAGAGAUCCUUUAAAUAAAUCAUAAAAAAAUAAUAUAGAAAUUCAAAAAAAAAUACUAAAAUAGAAAUCUUAAUAAAAAAUUAAAAGAAAAAUCUUAAUUAAAUCUUAGUCAAAAUUUAGUCAAAUCUUAAUCAAAUCUUAGUCAAACCUUGGUCAAAUCUUAAUCAAACCUUAAUCAACCUUUAAAUAAGCUCUAAUCAAAUCUUAAUCAAAUUCUAAACAAACCCUAACCAAAUCCUAAAUAAAUCCUAGUCAAAUCUUAGUCAAAUUCCAAAUAAGUCCUAAUCAUUUUGUAAUCAAAUCUUAAUUAAAUUCUAAUAAAAUCCUAAUCAAAUCCUAGACAAAUCCUAAAUAAGUCCUAAUCAAAUCCUAAAUAAAUUUUAGUCAAACUCUAGUCAAAUCCUAAUCAAAUCCUCAUCAAACCUUAAACAAAUCCUAAACAAAUCCUAAACAAAUCCUAACCAAAUAUUAAAUAAAUCUUAAUCAAAUCUUAAAUAUAACCUAAUCAAAUCUUAGAUAAAUUCUAACCAAAUUCUAACCUAAACCAAAUCCUAAUCCUAAUCAAAUCUUAAAUCAAAUCUAAAAUUCUAAUCCUAAUCUUAACCAAAUCCUAAUCCUAAUCAAAUCUUAAAUCAAUCCAAAAUCCUAAUCCUAAUCUUAAACUGAAUCCUAAUCAAUUCCAAGUAAUUCCUAUAGUAGUUUUAAAUCUCAAUAACUAAUGAAUGAAUUGUUUAUUUUAACUCAAAAUUUGCACAUCUUUUCACAAUUAAGUUGAUAAGGAGUAAAAAUAAAAUUAAAAAUGAUCGAAAUUACCAAAUAGAUGAUAACCUCAAAAAUGUGCUUGAGUGUCGGCUAGUCUUCUUCUCUCACCUUGAUGCUAAUCUCCCAAAGUCAAUUACUCUUGAUUGAACCAUUACUUUGAUUCCAAACUUUACACACUUAUUAGAAAUCAAGUUGACAACCUCUAUGAAAAAAAAAUUCUUAAAUCUAAUUGGUAAAUUGACAGAUAUCUAAGUAAAUCUUAUUGGUCUUGAAAACCCUAAAUUCUGAGACCAUAAUUUAGAAAAACCUUCAUGCCUUUCAAUCAAAUUGUUCGAUCAAAUCCAAAUUCACAGCACAUGUCAAGCACAACUACAUCCGCAAAUCCAAAUUUUUUCACUUGUAGAUCUAUUGCCAAAUUUACAAAAUUCUCCAAAAAGUAUCAUCCAUUUUAUUUUACAAAUCCAGAGUCACACAAAACAAAUUCCAAUUUUGCAAAGCUCUUAUAAAGUCAAUACACAUUCAAAUUACUUCAAAUUAAAACUCAAAGAAACUUCAUCAAAUCAACUUUUAGAUAAUUUUCUUUGAUCACUAAAAGAACUCUAGAGUUGUUGUCAAGGUUUGGUUUUGUGCCUCAAGAUCUGAUUUCAAUCUUAGUUAGUAACCGAUCUUCUUUGGAUAUCAACUCUUGAAUUUUUAAGGUAAUUUUUACCAAAAACUACUCUUAAUUUCUUUUUAAAGGUACAUAUAUUAUUUAUUUUUCUAAUCUACCUUAUUUUGCUCUAUUUGUGGUCCUACAAAAAAAAUAGAAGUCUAUUUUGCAAAAAGGCAGCAUUAGCUUGUUUAAUUUUUCUAUCCCUUGACUAUUAUCUAUUUUUUUAAGAUAAUUUUUUAUAAUAUUUUUGAAAUAAGAUCUUCAAAAAUAUGAUAUUUUCUUCACGCAUUCACCUAUUAGCCAUUUUACAUCAUAACAUAUAAUUAGUUUAUUUUGCAAGCUAUCAAUACGUGUGACAUGUGAUUAAUUUGUUGACUAAGUUUCUAAUCAAGUAUAAAUACAUAUAAAUUCAAAGCAGUGUGUAUGAAGCUUGUAAGAAGCUUUCUUAGAAGCUAUUAUAAAAUUAUUCUAUUUUUAUUUACUUCUAUCUAUUUAUAUUAUCUAAAUAAUAAUUAUAGUAAAUAUAUGUCUAUGAUAUUAUUUCUCCUUUUAGAGAUAAAUGCCAUAAGGAAUGGCAAUCACAUGUUGAAGAAGUCUAAGAUGUGGCAAAUUUUAUUUCCUAUAUACUUUAAACUUUAUUUUCUUUGAAGGUAAUUGAUAGGUCCUUUUAGUCAUUGAUAAUAUUCCAUUCCAAGGUGAAAAGACUACUAUAUUAUUUAAACAUUGUUGAAAUCUUCGUAACUUUAUUCAAACUAAAUAUUUGUAAUACCAUCACGAGUUGUUCUUAUUUCCAAUAAAAUCACCAAAUAUCAAGACUCCCUCUUAGGUUGUUGAAACCUUUGUAAUUUUCUAACUUCAUCUCUUUAAUCCCACAAUUAUACAAAAACUACAAAUAAGGAUAGAAGGUAGAAUGCAAUCAUUCCUAAAUUGUAUUUUUUUUCUAACAAAGGUUUGAUAUUUUUUAUCUUAGUUUUGAUGGAUGUUAUUGAUGAAAAGCUUUGACCUUCUCUAUUGCAUUUGUAAGGUUUUUUGCUUGCUCCCAUGUACAUUUAUUAAUAUCAUACAUGUGCCAAUAAAUAAGAUAUUUCAACCUAUGUUUGUACUAUCUCAAGUCUAAGACUUCUUCUACAUUAAAUUCUUCAUUAUUAUCCAUUGCAAUAGGAGGUCGUGAUAUUUGACUUCUUUCUAGAAAUUUUAUUGUCUUAUACGACUUUCAAAGAAUCAUGUAAAAUAUAAGAUAGAUUUUCAUGGACUUUAGUAGAUAUAAUUGAUAAGAAAUUAGAUUGAUUUAUUCAUAAAUAGAAAAUAGUUCAAGUCUACAAUGAUCUAACUUAUCACAAGAUCAAAUAAUUUUAAUAUUAUAAUAAAGUAAUCAUAUCUUAUUAUUAAUAUAAAAAUGAGGUUGUUUCUUGCAAUAGGCAUCCGUAUUGUUCUUUUGUUGUUCUUGAGCCUCUUUUAGUUGUAUCUUCAUUGCUAUAUGUAGCUCAAAUAAAUGAUUUGUUAAUUUUUUUGUUGCAUGAUUAUCAACUUUUAAAAAUUCAAAAGCAUCAAAUUAUAGAUGAUAAUUAUAAUUAAUAAAAAAAUAUAUUUUUUACAUAAAAGAAUGUACCAUAUUAUUAUAAGAAAAAUCUAUUAAUGGCAAAAGAGUUAUCUAAUCAUCUUCUUGGUAGUUGAUAGUAUACUUCAAAUAUUACUCAAAAACUUGAUUCACAUGCUUUGUUUGUCUAUCAAUUUGAAGAUGAAAAGUUGAAGAUAGUUUUAUAUCUAUCUUUAGAAUUUUAAAAAGCAUUAUCUAAAAUCUUGAUAUAAACUAAGUUUUCCUAUUUGAUAUAAUAUUUUUAGGUAGUCUAUGAUAGCAAUAGAUAUUGUUAAUGAAAAACUUGUUUCUUUACUUAUGAUAGAUUUUGUAUAUGGUAUAAAAUAUACCAUCUUAGUGAAAUGAUCUACUAUCACAAAUAUAAAGUCAUAAGAACUUGAGAGUAAAAGAUCCAUAAUAAAAUCUUUAGAAAUAGAAAGCUAUGAUUGUUUUGGAAUGAAUAAUGGCUAAAAAAGUCUAUAUGGUCAAUGACAAGGAGUUUUUGAUAUUAAGCACACAUCAUAAGAUCGUAAAAAAAUUUCGACCGCCUUCCAUAUUUGAGGCUACCAAAAAAUUUGGAUAUAAGUUUCAAAGUCUUAUUAUAUCCAAAAUAUCUUGUUAUUAGAAAGUCAUAAUAAGCUUGAGAAUACGUAAUCAAGCUUCAUCUUCUAAAACAUAUAAGCAACUUUUAAAUUAUUUUAGAUUGUUUUUGAAUUCAAACUUAGAAAUAUCAUGAGACUCAUUGAAUAUGCUUAUAUUAUAUUGAGAAAAAAGAAUAAUCCACUCUUAAUCAAGAAAAGAUAAAGCUCUAAUAUUAUAAGUAUACUCUUGUUAAUUUUUCAAGGAUAAAAACUCAAUGAAAAUAAAUAAAUAAGUAAGAUUUUUUUAAAGAAGUAUGACAAAAUAAAAAUAAAAAGGUAUUUAUAUUAAAAAAGAAAUUAGAAUAGCUAUUGCUAAAAGAUAAAGAAACUAGAGACUCUUGUAACUAGACUAGAAGUAAGAAAGGAAUUGAUAACAGUGAAGAAGGCUUCAUUCUUAUCUUUAUAUAUGUUGUCUAUCUAGGAGCUAUGUGGCGACGUUCUAUAAGACCUCUAAAACAUGUUAAUUUUGUACAAGUUAUAUUUUAGCUUGUAAGAUAAUUUUUUUAUAUACAUGCCACAUAGUUACCUUGUUUUGUAAGCUAUCAAUAUGUGUGGCAUAUAGUUAACUUGUUGACUAAAUUUUUAACCUAUUAAUCAAUUACAAAUACAUGUAGAAUUAAAGCAACAUCUAUAAAGCUUCUAAGAAGCUUUCCUAAAAGAUAUUAUGAAAUUAAUCUAUUUUUAUUUAUUUUUAUUUAUUUUUAUUAUUUAGAUAAUAAUUAUAAUAAAUAUAUAUUUAUGAUAGAAUGCUACAAUUACAUCUUAGUUUGAAAAUCUAGCAAACUUCAAAAAAUUGCAUAGUUCAAGGAAGAUUAAGAUAUGUAAGAAGUAGACAUCAAAAUUUAGAGCUUUGGUAUAAUUCACUGUCUAAAUAAACAAAGCAUCAAAGAGCAAGUUCAAUCUUUCUAUAGCCAACAUAUUAGGUUAAUUGCAUACUUUCAAAGCAAAGUUUAUGGCUACAUAUGAUUAGUCAAUUAAUACCAAAAUUAACAUUGAUGAAAAAGAUUAGAAGUGGAGUAUAUACACCAUAGAUACAAAGUUGAAGGACACUUGUUGACUCUUCAAAAGAAUACAUGCUUUGUAUGAUAUAAAGCCAAACAUGAUUCCUUUCUUUGACUCCACAAUAGUAAUAAAUAUAAUCUCACCAAUAUUGUUGUAAGACUCUGAGGCAAUAUUGAUGACUAAUUUAUUGUUGUUAUUGCUUGAUUGAAUUUAUUGCCUAAAUAAUUACUACUCAAAAAUACUUAUAAGAUUGUAUUGUAAGAAAAUUCUAAUGAAUGAAAUGAGGUAUACAAGAAGGAGCAUAAUCUUUUGUUUUCUUUCAUUUUUUUCUAAUUCUAAUAUUUAUCACCAUCAUAUUUUGUAAGACAUCUAUUUAUUAGUAAUAAUGCCACUAUUGUUGUAUUACAUGUCAUCCUGUUUGAAAAUACAUUGAGCAUCUAGUAGUGAAUUUUCAAGGUUCUAAAGGCCUCUAAUUUUGGAAGUGAUAUCUUUGUGAGCUAUUAUACAAGUAAAUAGAACUUGACAAAUUUUGUGAUAUAUACUUGUAGUGCAAGUUGUCACCUCUAAAAUCAAAGGCUUGACACAACAAUGCAUUUUACAACAAUACAAAAAAGAAAAAAAUUGUGGCAAGAUCUAAAAAAAAAAAAAAAUUUUAUUUUUACUUGCACAACACACAAAGAAUAAUAAGUACUUAUAAAUUAAACUUUGUGUGCCAUUGUUUUAUUUCAAACCAUUUUUCUAAAGAAAAUUAUCUCUUCUAAUUUGGCAAUAGAAUUCUUUCAGUCUAUAUGACUCUUGGCUAGUCUCAGUAAAUUCAAUAGUCUACUUAUCACUCAAAUUAACAUGCAUAUUAUGUAAAAUGCAACAAACAAAGAUCUAAUUCAUAAUUCUUUUCAUACCAUUUGUUUGAUUGAGUUAGAUACAGAUUUCUUUGAGUAAAGUUCACUUAUUUUUUAGGAUUCCAAUGUACUAUUUAUUUACAAUCUCUAAUUUAAUUAAAUAAUAAUUAAACUCCCUAUUAAUCAACCAUUCUAUAGUUAGAGACUUGUAGUUAGGAAUAACCAUGUGGCUCAUACCAUAAGUUGAGUUUGCCAGCAAGUAUUGCCUAUAAUCAAAGUACUUUUUGGAAUUUUUAUAUAUCUCUAUUUUUUUAAAUAUUUUUGUAUCUUUAUAAGAUCUAGGCCAAUUAGUGAUUAGACUAAUAAUAUAAAGAUCAAGGUUACAAACAAUCUAUGUAUUCAUAGAGUAUUUCUUUUUCUUAUUAAAAAAUACAUCUCCAUUAUUCUUAGGAUACUGGCUUAAAAGAAAUUGCAUUAUAUUAACAAAUCCAAUGUAAUGUUUAAAGCCAAGUGGGCUCAAAGAUUGGCUAAUAUGAAGCUUUUGGGGAGUAUUUGAUUAUCACAAAUAUAAUUUUUCAAAUCACAAAAUGAUUUCAAUCACUUGGUUAGUAUAGAGGCACAUGAUGCAUUUGCCAAUAUUACAAGUCCAUUUCAAUCUUUUGAUACUAGUUCCAUUUCUAUUUGAGCUAAGACGCUUCAAUGCUAAUGUCAAUUGCCAAGUGAUAUUAGUUUGUAGAUAAUGAUCAUUCUUUUUAAAAACAAGAUAGUUUUUGAUGGCUGAAAGUACUCCUUAAAAGCUUACUCCCAACAUUCUUGUUGUGUGACAAAACUUGGCAUGAGGCUCAUUUAUAAAAUAAUUCAAAACCUAAUUGCGUGAUUUGGGUAUAAGAUUUUGAGCAAACACGAAGCAAGGACUAUUAUUUGUGUGGUGAAUCAAUUCAAGUUCUUCUAUAUAAUUAAAUUCAAAAAAAAAAUCCUGAAAUUUGCUAUUAACUUAUUGGUACUAUUCUUUAAAGAAUUCAUUGAAUUUCUCAUCAAUUGUGAAAGUCAUCAAUAUUUCUAAGUCUUGGAGGAUUUGCUAUUUUUUGGAGCACCAAGGAAGGCAUGGUGGGGCUAUGGUGUAGUAUGGAAUCAAAGAGAAAAGAAAGUUGAGGCAAACAAUGUGGUUUUUGAUAUUCACCAGCACUUCUAUUGAUAUUUUGAUUUCAAAAUCACCAACCUUACAAUGUAGGUGAUUUGGUGAAAUAUCAAGUAAUAUUUCAAAAUACCAUGGGAUACUUUGAAGAAAUAUCACCAUGGAAAUAUCACCCGAAAAGGCCAUAUUUGAAACCCCCUAUUGGAGAUGGCCACAUGGCUAACUUCAAAUGAAAAUGACCCAGUUUACCAAGUACAUCCGCAGGAUGCCGUAGGAGAAGUGCAUAAACCAGCACUGCCUUAACACAAAGCCAACACCCCCUUGGAUAGGAAACCGUAUUUGAUCCUGCACAGUCAGAACCAUUCCCGUUCGCCAGGUUUUUGAAGCUCCCGAUAGAAACAUUCAACCCUAACUAGGUUACCCACGCCGACAGCUUUGCGUUUGCUCAACAUACCUGAGGAUUUGGUCCAUCUCGAACAAGUAUGUUCUGCUCGACUUUAACAUGUUAUAUUAGCAGAAAUAUGGCCUUGCUCUCAUUUGCUGGAAUUCGAGGUUGAACCAUUGCCCAAGAGCACCACUGCUAUGUGCAUGGAAGGAAUGUAGUUACAGGAAUUCAGAAUUUUAUACGCAAAUGUUUGCAGAUGUAAAGGAAAGGUGAUUGUAACUCCAAUUCUCUGGAAGUUAUUUUCAUGCCUGUUUUGUGUGCUAGCCAAAAGCAUGUGUGUUGACAAGGAGAAUAUCAAAUCGUGGAACGAAUGCAAAGUGCGCAUCUUCUCAGCAUCUCACACCGAAGUUUAGAAAUUUGUAACCUUACGUGAGAGCAACUGGCAGACCAAUAAAUUUCUAGAUUUCGUACUUAACCUUAAUUUACUUCAACUAUUUCUUCCCUGGGUUGCGCAGCAAUCAUUUUUAAAGAUACUGUAGUGGUAUUUUGGGUUAAGCAGUUUUUCAGCAGUUUUCAUCAAUUUUGCAAAAUUGAUGGUUCCUGUCCACGACUCACUCCUCAAAGUAGAUAGAUCAAUUCCUCAUUUCUACACUCUCUUGAAAGAUCUGCUCCCAAGUGUGAUAAAUUUGCAGUUUGAAGGAGCCAGUUUGCAGUGCAUGCCCGCCGAGAAAUGGAUCCAGUCCAUAGACGUUCAAUUGCCAGGAGAUAAUGUACAAGUAUCGUCAAACUGUGCAGGAAGUGCGACGCGCAGAUUGGCGAGGGCACUGGAUGUGGUAGAUGGAAUUGAAAUGUUCGAAUCGCCAAUGUACAUGUCAUAUAAGUGGUUUACAUAGCCGAACAGAAUAAUAGAGGAUAUGUAGCAGCAGCGUUCAUCAGUGCCUGUCACCUACAUUGCAUAAGCGUGCACGGUACAAAGUGAUACUCGGAGUGUGUAAUAAGGAAUAACAGGUUCAAGGCUGCUGAAAAGAUAUGAUACCCCACCGACGCAACGCUAAACCCUAACUGGGGUUUCUCCAUUGUUGCACAAAAGCAGCUGCGUAUGCACGUUAAACAGCAUUCAAAACCAUUCUUAAUAUUAUUACCUCAAUUCAAGGUGACCAUUUCAAUCGGUUAGGCAACACAAUUGUAUGACCGAAGGUACAACAGUGUCUGUCGCUGGAGUGCAGGCUUUAUAUUAAGCAUGGUACAAAAUCAUACCCAGGAGUUGAUUAUCCUAAGCGAGAGCAAUAAAAAGUAGUGAUAAGAACGAUUCCAUGCAUUUACAAAAUUGCAUACGAACCAGAAGGAAGCGCGAGCAGGACUCCUCAAGAUGACAGAAUUGACAGCUCCACGUUCAACGCUGUCGCCUAAGUUGACUAAGUGCACAAUCCAGAAGACUGUCUGGUGCUGUUAUCAAUACCACUGAAAUCUAUUCUAUGAGACCACUAAGAAAAACUAUCUUGCCUAACGAGAAUAGUCAUACCGGAAGACAAGAUUACACGCUGUACAACUGGUUAAUCUCAUUCUUCAUCUCCUCCUCCUUUUCACGGCCGUAGACAUCAAUGCUCAUGUCCUGCUUAAUGUUAUCCGAGUCAUUCACAACCACCUCAGCGUUAAGCACACGCUUGUCCUCAAUACUGAAAUUGUAGUCCGACUUCACGCCAUCCCUCGGCACAAUGUGCAACAAAUUGUUCUGAGGGUGGUCGCGCUUCCACGUCCGCGAGGCACACUUAGCACGGAAAUCAAACUCAUCGCCAAACACGCCGCCCUGCAUCUCCGCAGGCAACAACUCCACCUUCUCCUGCAGGGCCACGCCGAGAUUCGUGGCCGUAACACACUUGUAGCACGUCACGCCACCGUUCUCCAUACACUCCAGCGUCCCGGCGGUGACGGGCUCCACUACGAAGACAUCCUUCAGCUUGCCGUUCUCGUCUUUCCGGAAGCAAUGCGCCAGCCCCAGCACGAUGUAAUCGUCGUCGCUCCAGUCGGGGUCUUGACCGUGGGGGCUUUCGGAGGCCCUGGUCACGAGGAUCACACUCCUCCGCUGCGGCUCUCUCCUUUCCCAGCUCCUGUUCGCCGCGACCUUCACUCCUUGCCCAACAAACGCCGAAACAUUCUUCACGAAAACCUGCACUCCGCUCGACGUCGCUCCCUUGUCCACUCUGGAGUGUGCUACCACGUCCAACGCCGCUCCGGCACUUGAAAUCCUCGCGGUUGCAGCCAUGGCAGCCAUCGUUGGAAAGGCAAUUCCACGAGGAAUUAGACAACGCAAGCGAGGGAUUCUCCAACAGAUCGGCAGAAGAAGAAGAGGGGGAUUUACUUACAGCAAUCGAACGAGGGCGUGUUUUGUGAUCGGAGAUGGAAAUCCGGAAAGAGGAUAGGAAGAGGAUAAGAGGGUUGCAACCGCGUGGUGAACCGCGCGGGAAAUGGUGCGUGCAUUACCUGGACUGCGCUUCGGACCGUGCUUGAAACUGCGCGUGGAGCUUUCGAAGAUAUUAUCUCUUUGCUUUUUCUACUUUACUUAGAUUUUUUAUAUAUUGCUCUUCUUUUGUUUCGUUUUUCGUGUGUUUGUUUGUGGGUGGUCUUUUGACAUGAAAUUUUUUUUUACGUCAACCAAUCAUGUGAUUGGAAUAUUCACACAAACCAUUUGUUUACAUAGAUGUGCGCAUAUACAUAUAUAUAUAUAUAUAUAUACAUACCAAAUAUUUAAAGAUUGAACAUUAUAUUAUUUCAUUUGAUGAACAAUUACUAUUUGAAUGAUUUAUAACUUCGGCAUUUCAACUGAUUAAAUUUGAGAAAGUACCAUAACAUAUAAUUCCUUGUUCUGUAGUUUUUUCCGUUCUUAAAUACGGAGAUUCAUGUUGCAUUUGAUAAUGAAUUCAAAUUUAAAAACUAAUCUCAUGCAAAAUGGUAUGGGAAUAAUUUCAUAUCACAAAUGAAACAGUUUUAAAUUGUUCAUAUUGAUAUGGAAAAAUUGCUAAAAGCAUCUCUUAGUAUAUCACCAGUCUUUACCAAUAGCAAUGUUAGUAGAAAAACAAUGCACUCUACAUUUUGUGAAAUAAACAACCAAAAUUUCAAACUUUCUAAAGCUAUCAUACCAAGUUUUAUUAAACCGUCUCAACCUUGAUAUAUCAUUAAAACAUAAGUAUGAUAUUUAACAUUGUCAGAUUUAUCUUCGAGACACAUUUUGAUUGUACUUACAUGGUCUUGUAGAACCCCCCAAUUAACCUACUCAAACCACUUUGUUAACCCAGAAUAUCACACAGAUGUUACACGUAUAUAUAAAAGUAUACAUCCAUAUAAUCAUAAUCAAACAAAAAUAUGACAAAUGCCUGUAAAGGCAAGGGAUCGAACUGCAGGACCAUUCACCUUGUACGAGGCCAUUAAAAUACAUCAGAAAUUUAGAAAAAAUUUAGAAACUUUUUGAAGUUUACUAAGAGUAAUAAUGAUGAAAGAAUAUGUUCAACGUUGCAACCACAUGGUAUAAUUCAUAGAAAAUACAGAUUCUAAAACACGAUAGAAAAAUACAUGACAAGGGAGCUGACAAUGGUCACCACAGUUCGAUAUAAAUAAAAUGCAAACGCUGGAUUCUACAAAGAGGACGCUGCUAUGCGUGGUUCCAUCACAGACUUGAGUUUCCAUGAAUGCACAGAUUGUUGCCCUUCCACACACAUCUGGUAAUUUGAUUUCCAAAAAACGAGAAAAAAUUGUUGCUAUUGAGUCGACACUCUGGCUGAUUGACCAGCCCAUUGCUUCCAUGGGAAAACAAAAUAAUUUACAAAAUCUUGCUACACGUGCUUCAAGGAUGGUUGGACGAAAGAGAAAAAAUUCUUCGUUCGCAAACCUAAUAUGACAGGGUUACCGAACCUGAUUGCACUAAUCCUACGAAAGACUUACGAUGGUCUCAUUGCACUUUGAGCCUGAAGCAGUGGGAGAACAGGCGUCAAGCGAACACCAGGAGCCUCUGGCUCCAACACCGUGCUGCCGAGCCGGGUGGGUGGCCAGUAACGUACCACGGACCGUCCUAAAAUGCUCUUCACAGGAAGUGGCCCCCUGCCAACAAAGCAGUUUCUCAUGAUUAGUAGACCUCCAGUCAUCACAAUAUCAGACCUAAUCUCGACAUGCAUUAUUAUCCCAUGCAGCAAAGAAAAUGUAGAAGAGUAUGUCACCUACUCACCAUAAAACUCUAUAAAUCGAAUCAGAAGCACAUGAAAUAAGAUGAGAAAGUAUCUCAAUCUAAAAGGCCUGUGUUUGUAGAAAGCCCAACUUAAAAUAGGUCGGGUUCUUCAGAAACAAUGUCGAAGUGUGAGGGGAAGACAACCUACCAGAUAUGCGAGUCGUAGCUAUUGUUACGAUUGUCCCCCAUGACAAACACAAAACCUUCGGGAACAUACUGCACAAGGAAGAAGGGGGGAUAUGAUUAUGAAGAAAUUGUGCACGGAACCACGACAGAAUGAAUGAAUUCAAAUGCCUACAAGAGCUUCAAAAAGUAAUAAGUUGUAAGCAGGUAAGAGGGAUAUGUACAGUGGCUUUCAUGUCGUAUAUGGGCGGCUCAGCAAUGAACGGCUCAUUCUUUGGCUGCUUGUUGACGAAGACUUGGCCAUUAUGAACCUGAUCAUUGAAAAAUGAUAUCAGAAACCCUCCAGCCAUCGAAGUCUAUGACGACACUCACAUGAUGAAUAUAUGACGUCACUCACUUAACAGUGCUUAAUGCUCGAACCCAAAAAAGGUACCCCCUUUGACAGACUUCCUGCAGGGUUUGAAUCGAUGGUGACACACUUGCUGCGAGCAGACAGAUUGUGACAAAGCGAUUCGAAUAGGGUGGAAACGGUUACAGCUUCGUCAUUCACAUACCUCAACGACAUCUCCAGCUUUAGCGAUUAUACGCUUGAUGAAGACCUCUCCUGCACUGUAACCCUUGGCCUGCACAAAAAGAAUGGUGAAUGAACAGCUGCAAAACACCAGCCCCUGAAACAGAAGUCACAAUUCUGACAUAGACAAUCCUGGUCUACCCGCAAUCGUGAUGCUCUUCGGUCGUAGGUGCUGAUAUAAGCAAAUUCAGGGGGUGAAAGCUCACUUGUAAACUUUCCGGCGCCUUAAAAAUGACGAUGUCAUUCACGCUGGGCUGUUUAAAGUAAUACGACACCUGCACAACUAGCCAUUCUCUUCACAAGUUAGAGUCAAAGAGUCUGCAACUGUACCUAUGGUAAAAACCCUAAAUAAACAUUGCUGCUCCCUCACCAUAGACACGAUCUGGAUGUUACUCAAACCCCUUAACCUCGUAGCUGCACUUAAUUACCAUAUAGUGCAAAUGAAGAACACUCUGAGCCAAACAUGCUAAUGAGACAACUGAAAACGCUAUCUCCGAAGCAGAGGGGGUUUCAAAUUUUCACAGAAUUGGCACUGGGUUUAGGUGAAUCAAUUCAUAACAAUUCCAGUCGGCUCCACAAAUCACUCUGUAACACACAACUAUCUGCGUGGAAGCUGGUGGUAUAUGUUUACAUAACAGAAGCCUCAUCGACCUAAUUGGAAUCCGCCAUAUCUGCUGUUAAGUCACCUUAGAAGAGUACCAGGUGCUGGACUCCUCAGGAAGUUUAUAUUAAGCUCAAUUAGUGAUUGCGCUCGUAAUCACAUUACAAAUUUGAUAGGGUGUAAGCAAUCUCUGGGAUUCUGGGAAGACGACAGACCCGGUUGGAGUAAUUCUUUUGUUGCUACAAAAGAUGAAGAAUUAACAACAGGCAGGGAAACAGCAAGAACCUUUUCAGCAACAAUCCGGUCACCGACUUCGAAUGUUGGGUACAUGGAAAGAGAGGGAAUGAAUCUAGGCUCCGCAAUGAACCACCUAAACAGCAACGAGAACGCAAAUGCGGCCAAGAUGGUCUUCCCGUCAUCGGACGAAAUGGCAGCCCAAUCAGGCAACCAGCUCGGCUUCUUCAGCUCCGCCUCUUCGGCAUCCACAGCAUCCUCCUCACUCGGACUCUCCUUAAUGGCAGGCGCAGCCAGGGGCUCUCCCUCCCUGCCAUUUCUAUCCCUCUCAGACCUUGCCACCAAUGCCUCAUAACGCCUCUGCUGCUCACUUCUCGACCAACACCUCACCGCAAUCUUCAGAGUCUGCCCCACAAACGGAUUUCUCAGCGCAGGGCCUCGGCAACAUAGCUGCCCACUCCCAACUGACGCCGCGGCCUUGAACUGGGCGUCUACAUCUAUCGCGAAUCCCACUACCGAGAUCCUGCCAGCUCCAACUAUCAUGGCCAUUGUGUUACUACGACGAAGAUUGUGCAGUGCGGCGACGAUGCUGGCGCGAAUUCGCGAUGCGCGAGGUCAGCCACGAGCAGCAACACCAACACCAACAAACACCGUCAUCGUCUUCUAAGGCAAACCUUCACAAAUGGCUUCAAGGGGUGAGGAACGGGCUGGGCUGGGCUAGGCCGGGCCGGGCCUUAUCGCAAUCGAAGGCCACGACAACGCCUAUGCCCGUGUCCAUGUCAGUGUGAACGGAGGCAUUAUUUUGAUUCCGACACCCACCACUUUCACUCCAGAUAACCAACAUAUUACUCCCAAUUAUUUAUAUUCAUGUGUGGUUUGGUUUGGUUUUUUAUUUUAAAAUUAAUGUAUUAUAAAUAUAUCUUCUAAUUUUUUCAUUUGAUUCAUUACACAUUUCAUAAUGCCUUCUAUUCUUUUGGAUUACUAAUUAAGUGGAUAUAUAUAUAUAUAUAUAUUUAUUUAUAUUUGUUCUAUAAAAUAGCUUGGAUAUAAGAUAAAGAGGAAAAAAUGCAUUUUAAUUGGAUAUUGAGAAAGAAACUCUAAGAAUUCAAGGAGUUGUGAAAUUCUCUAACAAACAAGUAAUUGAAGCCUUAAAGAUUUUUUAAUAAUAGUUCUUUUCUAAAAAACUAUCUAUUGUAAAGGGUACAUUCUCUCUCUCUUUUGAAUAUGCAAUUGUGCAAAGUUUUUGCCCCAUCCUUACUCUCUUUUUCAUUCUCUCUAGCUAAAUUGUCAAUUGUCUUUAUUUCUCUUUUUCUUCAUUCCAUCUCAAGUUCUACUUUGUCUUUUUAAUUAAUAUCUUUUUGUGGAGGAGCUUCUUUGUUGUCCUUGCUAAUCCUAUAAUUGCUACAUUUAUAGGUUGUGACUUUAAUAGGUUAGACAAUUAUCCAUAAGAUGUUCUUUUUCAUGUACCAAGAGUCAAUUCUUUGACCAUUAGCAACUUACCUAAGAUAAUAUUCUUUACAAGAUAAUUUAUUUAUUUUUAAUUUUACUUAUUUAUUUUAAUACUUCUACUUUACUAUUGGUCAAAGGUUGUCAAUCCUAAUGUCUUUAUCAACAUAUGAUGUCUAUCUUUUAUUAAUACUUUUGUCAAUAAAUUAGCAAGCAUGUCCUUUGUUGUACAAUACUUUAUAUCAAUUACUCUCAUUUUAAUCUUCUCUCUUAUGAAGUGAUGUUUAAUGUCAAAAUCUUUAGUCCUUGAAUGAUGUUUUGGAUUCUUUGUAAAUACAAGAUAUCUUAGAAUGUCACAUUCCAUUAGAGUUGCUUCUGGUUGCACUACUCUAAUAUCUUCCAAAAGUUGUCUUAGUGAUAUUGCCUCCAUUGUACCAUGGCUUAUUGUCAUAUAAUCCACUUCUAUUAUUGACCUUCUAAUUGUUGGUUGUUUCUUGCAAUUUUAUGAAAUAGCUCCUAGUCCAAAAAAAAUUAUAUACUUUCUUAUUAACCUUCUAUUAUUUGCAUCUCUAGCCCAAUAUGCAUCACAAUAAUCAUACAAAGUAAUGUUAUCACCUCUUAGGCACAAUUUGAAGUGCAAAAUACCUUUUAAGUACUUUAUGAUCCUUUUGAUGGUUGCCUAAUGGAUUAUUCUAGUCUUUGACAUGUGUUGGCUUACAAUACUCACUGCAUAUGAAAAAUCCACCCUUAUGCUAGCUAUUACAUAUAUAAGUGAGCCUACUGCUAUUUUGUAUAGAACAUCUUGCAUUAAACCUUCAACUUCAGCAAAAUUUUCAUCCUUGAACUUCAUCAACUUCAAAUUAGCUUUCAAAGGUGUUCUAAUAGGUUUAUAUUCUUCUAUAUUGAAUCGUUUCAAUACUUCUUUAAUGUACUUAUUUUGACUCAUUGUAAUUGUAUUUUUAACAUGAUAACUCUAAAAUUGUACUCCUAAAUAAUAGUAAAGUUCUUCCAAAUCAUUCAUUUCAUACUUAUUUACUAACUUUACCUUUAACUAAUCUAUCAUCUUCAAGGUAUUGAUUAAGAUGAUUAAAUCAUCAAUAUAUAAGAUAAUAAUCUAUAUGAACUCAUUUGAUUAUAUUAAAUAUAUGGAAAGAUUAGCUUCACUUCUUAUGAACCUUUCAUUCACAAAGAAUUUGUCAAUACAUUAAUACAAUGCCUUUAGUAAUUGCUUGAGUCCAUAUAAUGAUUCUUUCAACUUACAAAUAAGAUGUUAUUUGCCUUCUUCAAUAAAUCCUUGAGGUUGAUCUAUAUAAAUGUUUUUUUUCAAAUUUUUAUUCAAGAAAGUUGUUAUUACAUUUAUUUGAUGUAUCUCCAAAUUCAUUGUUGCAUCAAUUGUUACAAUGGUUCUAAUAGUAGUGAAUUUGUCCACAAAAGCAAAUGUCUCUUGAAAAUCAACAUCAACAACUUGUUAGUACUUUUUUCCAACCAAUCUAGUUUUAUAUCUCAUAACAUUCCUUAUUGUAUCUUUUUUGGUUCUAAAUACAUAUACAUAAUCAAUUGAAGAUUGAUUUGGUGACAGUUGAGUUAAUUCUCAUAGUCCACUAUCUAUGAGUAAUUUGUACUCUUCUUCCAUAGCAUUAUCUUAUUUCAUAAUAUCUAUAGAUUUCAUUACAUCAUACAAACUCAAUGGAUUAAUAAAGAGUGCAACAUUGACAUGUUCUUCUCUUACUUGAGAAAAGAUGUGGUUCUUCUAUCAUUCAUCAAGUUUGAAAUAGAAAACGAUUAUCUCUAAGAUCUACGAUCCUUUUAAUCUAUAGCAAUAUAAAUCUUGUUACAAUAUAGGACAUUGUAGACCAAAAUAAAAUUAAAUAGAAUUAAAUAGAAUGUAACAUGAAAGAUAAAAUAGAACAAAAGAUAAUAGGAUAAAAUUUUAAAAAAAAAAGUAAAAAAUCAAACUUUACUAAGAGAAAGGAAUUAAAAUCAUAUUUGAUCAAAUAUCCAAAUAAUCUUGAUUAAUCCUAUUUAUACUUUGUUUAAUCAUCUUAGAAUUUUUUAGAAUAUUUUUAAUAGUGGGCUUUAUCUAAAUAACUACCUUAAAUUAUUUUUAGAAUGUUCUAUGGUAGAUCUCAUAUAGACUAUUAAUCUAGCUUUAAUUUUAAAAACUUCUAAAAAAUUCUAAAAACUUUUUAAAUAUGGCUCGAACUACAUAUUUCUAUCUCAAGGACAUAAACCAAAAGAUGAUGCAUAAAUCAAUGAAAUCCGUGCCAAAGAAAGAAUAAUAAUUUAGAAAUAAAGAAGUACGUAUAUUAAAAAGAAACUGGAAUGGCUUAUUACUAAAAGACAAGAAAACUUGAGAUUCUUGAAACUAGACUAGAAGCAAGAAAAGAAUUGAGAAGAGUGAAGAAGGCUUUACUCUUGUCUUUAUAUACUAUCUAACUAGAGGCUAUAAGGCAAUAUUCUAUAGGACCUCCAAUAUGUGUUGACUUUGUAGGACACAUGCCUUGACUUAUAAGGCAAGUUUUUCUACUUGUAGGCCACAUAAUUAACUUGAUCUUCAAGCUAAUAACAUGUGUGGCACAUGGCCAACUUGUUAACCACUUUUUUAAUCCAAAAAAUCAAUUAUAGAUACCUAUAAAGUCAAAGCAGUGUCUAUGAAGCUUCUAGAAAGCUUCUAUAGAAUAUAUUAUAGAAUUAACUUACUUCUACUUACUUCUACCUAUUUAUAUAGGUAAUUAUUGGCUUACAUGUGUAUGUCCAUGACAUUCUAUGCAUCAAAAACACAAAUAUUUUACUUAUAUCCCAUUAUAAUUAAUCUCUUUUUACUAAUACAAAAUGUCUUCAUUUCAUUCUCAAUGGUAUUUCCAAAUUAUUUCUUGACAAUGACUGAGGUUUGGUAUACAUUCGUACAUUGCAUCAUAGAUUGAAUAAUCUUUCCAAAGGACUUUGUACAAAAUUUGUGGUCAUCCAUUGCCACAAAAAAAGAUAGUGAUGUUCCAAAGUAUUGUCUACUUUAUAUUCUUGUUGAUCAUUAAUCACAAUUGGUGGUAGUGGUAGUCGUAGUAGUUGAUAAUGGUCUAAAAAAUACCUUUGCUCAAUAUAAAAUUUUUUGAAUUGCAAAACAAAAAAGACAUGAUGGAUUAGAAUAUAUGACAAAAGCUCGAGGCAAUAUGCAACAUCAAAAAUUACUACAAAAAUGGAAAAAGGUCCAAGCCAUUGAGGUGCCAACUUAUAAAUUUGGAUUGAUAUAGCAAGUAAAAAUUGGCAUUAGAAAAUAACACUUGAUCACCUUCUUGGAAGGUCUUAUGUUGCAUAUGGUUAUCCAUAUAUUGCUUCUAUUUAUUUUGUGUGAUAAGGACGUGGUGUUGUGCCUCAUACAAGGCCAUUGUAAGUUGUUAUACAAAUUCUUCCAUUAUUGGAUUGUUGGUGUCAAUUUAAAAAUGAAGAAUUACUGACAAAAUUUGAUGUUGAUUGAUAUUAAGAAAGAAUAGUGAAUGAAUGGUACUUGCUUAAAUACUAUUAUUAUAAAUAAAUUCUAAGGACAUCAAAUAUUCAUCCUAGUCAUUAUGAUAAUUUACCACAAAUACUCAUAGCAUAUCUUUUAAGGUCCAAUUUGUAUGCUUUAUUUAUCUAUUUAUUUAAAAAUAAAAGGCCAUAGACAUAACAAGUCUUGUGCCUUAUCUUUUGAUUCAAGAUUCAAAUUUGGUUUUCAUAAUGAAGUGUUUGGCAUAGUGUGUUGCCACCUUUGCUUAUAUUUAAGUUAAAUAUCAAAGAGCUAUAAUUAUUAUUUUCAACAAUAAUGUCAUGAUUUCAUAUUUUUCAAAUGCAAAUUGUAUAGUAGAGAUUGAUGGUCAAUCCAAAAAAUCACUAGCUUUUCUAACAAAUAGUGUCACCACAUCUUUGUGGCAUAUACAAUUACUAGUUUCUCUCAAUCAUAUACAAAGUAAUUAUGCUUUGUCCUUUUGAGCUUGCAUGAUUUAUAUAUUGUCGUAUUACAUGUGAUCUUACUUAAGAAUGCACCAAACAUUUAGCUCUAGAGAGUAACUAGAAAUACAAGAACAAUCCUACUAAGUCUAAUAGAAUCUUAAUUAAACUUAAAUAGACCUUAAUAAUCCUAAUUAAACUUUGAUUAAUCCAAAAUAAACUUAAAAGAAAUUAUAAAAAAAUACAAAGAAGUUCCAAACAAAUCACAAAGAAUAAUAGCAAAAAAUCUUUAAAAAUAAAAAAUAAAUCUUUAAAGAAAUAAUAAUAAUCUUAAAGAAUUAUUAAAAAUAGAAAUCUUUAAAUAAUAAUAAAGAUUUCUAAAGAAAUACUAAAAAUAGAAAUCUUAAUAUAAUCCUAAUUUAGACUUUAAUUGAAUCUUAACCAAAUCUUAGGUCAAAUCUUAAGUCAACUCUAAUUAGAAUCUUAAUUGAAUAUUAACUAAAUCUUAGAUAAAAAUUUAAUGAAAUCCUAAUGAAAUCCUAAAUCUUAGACAAGUUCUAAAUCAAAUCCUAAGCAAAUCCUAAUCUUAACCAAAACCUAGACCAAAUCCUAAGUCUUAAUUAAAUCGUAGACAAAUCCUAAAUCAAAUCCUAUAGCAAAUUAGAACCUCAAUAACUAAUGAUUGGACCAUUGAUAUUAGCUCAAAAUUUGCAUACAUCUUAAUAUCUUAGUUAGAAAUAAGUAAAAGAAAAGUAAAAUGAAUCGUUCUUAUUUAUUAAAAGAAAAAUAAGAUAAAUCAAUCAAGUAUUAGAUCGCCUCCUAUUCUAAUCUAAAUGUUGAACUUCUAGUACCAAUAUCUCCAUCUUGAUUCAUUGAAUUGCUUCCAAAUUUUACUUAAAACAUUGUAAAUCAAGUCUAAUAUCCAUAUAAAAAGAUUUUACUUCAAUCCAAUUAACAGAUUGCUAAAGAUCUUAAAAAUUCUUUAUUAAUCUUCAAACUCCAAUUUUUGAGACCUUGACCCAUAAGGACCUUCACAUACUUCGAUCUAACUAUUCAAUUGAUUUCAAAAUUUGCAUACACAUUUAUAACUAGUACAAAAAUAAAGUGCUCAAAAUUCAUCUAUACUCAUACUACAAAAUUCAAGAAACAUCUAGAUUUGUAAACAUAAUUUUAUUUCUUAAAAUCUAAACCAACUAAGAAUAUUAUUAACUUUGAAAAUUCCUUAAAAACUCAAUAUUGAUUCAAAUGACAUGGAACCUCCACUUAAAAAUCUCUCCUCAAGUCUACUCUCAAAUUAUAGUCUUUAAUAUACCAAAGAACCUCUAGAGUCACUAUAGGUACAUGGUUUGUACCUUAAGAUCUGAUUUUGACCUAGAUUGACAACUAAUCUUCUCUAAGUAUCAAUGCUUGGCUUCUUGAGAUAAAUUUUCCUUAAAUAUACUCUUAAUUUCUUCUUAUAUAUGUCUAUAUUAUUUUAUUUCCUAAUAUAUAUAUUUUUUGGAUUAUUUAUGGCCCUACAAAAUAAGGAGAAGCUUAUUUUAUAAAAAGAUAAUAUUAUCACCUUUUUUAUUAUCUUUUUUAUUACUAUCUAUAUUUCUAAGAUGAUUUGCUAUAAUAUUUUAAAAUAAGAUAUUUUAUUAUAUAAUGUAUAUUUUUUUAUUUAUUACAUCAUAACAGUGUUAUAGGAUGAAGGUUUCUAUCAAAGUCUCGUUAAAAGAGUGCUAUAAUAGCAAAGUUGAAAACAUCAAUGUUAAGUGUAUAAAGAAGAUUGAGAUCAUACAAUUGCAAUAUUAAAGUAGUAAUGAGUGCCUCUUUCAACUUAUUAAAGGCCCUUUUUUGCUUUAGUUUUCACUCAAAUGAGACACCCUUCUUUAAUAGGCUUGUCAAUGAAACAACAAUGUAUACAAAUUGUCAAAUAAAACAGCAAUAAUAUCUAGCAAGGCCUAAAAAUGAAUGGACUUUAGAAGCAUCUUUGGAGGUUUAGCUAAUCUUCCACCACUUUCAUCUUAUCCUACUUCAUGUGCAUGCCUUUAGAAGACACAGCAUGCUCCAAAAAAAUGAUCUCAAACUUCUAAAGUUUAUACUUUGAUUACUUGCAAUAGAAGCAAUUAUCUUAUAGCUAGUGCAAUACUUUUCAUAGAUGUUACUCAUGCUCUUCAAGAAUUUUAUUAUAUACUAGAAUAUCAUCAAUGAAGACAAUUACAUAUUUAUCCAAAAGAUCCCAAAAUAAUCUGUUCAUGUGAUCAAUGAAGGAGGUUGAAACAUUAGUGAGGCUAAAAGAUAAAAUAAGUCAUUCAAAAUAUCCAUAGCGUAUACAAAAAGGCUGUCUUUUUUAUAUCUUCUUUUGCAAUAGGUAUUUAUUAAUAGCAACUUCAAAGGUCCAAUGUAUUAAAGAUAGUUGUACCUUGAAGUUGGUUAAAAAGAUCAUCUAUACGUAGGAGUGGAUAUGUAUUCUUGACAAUAUACUUAUUGAGGCUUUGAUUGUCAAUGAAAAGUUGAAGUCUACCAAUUUUUUUUUAUGUGCAAAAAAUAUAAGUGCUGCCCAUAGUAACAUGCUUUUUUGAAUGAGGCCAUUUUUAAGAAUUUUUCGAGUAACUUUUGUAAUUCAUCAAGUUUAUUUAGUGCUAGAUAAUAAAUUGGCCAACUUGCCAAUUUGAUCUUAGGAAAUAAUUCUAUUUGGAAGGAUUCACUUCUAUCAAGUAGUAUGCCACUAGGUAAGUCAAUUGAAAAGACAUCUUAAUAUUCACAUAUAAAUUGCUUUACUCAUUUUGUGCUUUCAAUUAUCUUUUCCACCACCAAAGUAUAAUUUGAAACCACUAUAUAUAUCGAUUACGUAUAUUGUAUUUGUUUCUUCAUAAAGGUCAUUCCUAUAAAUAAGCUUUUAGUCACACAUUGUUUUUUUUACUUCAGUCAACGUAGAGAUACAAAAAAUUAUCUUGCAUCUACUAUUUUUGAAAAAAUUUAUCCUUACUAGCUAAUUAACUUAUUUAUUUUCUACUUUUAGCCAUGGCAUAACAAGAAUAAUAUCAUAUCUAAGCUUUUUUAUCUUAAACUUCUUUCUUAAGAUAUAAGUAUUACUCAACCUCAAGAUUUCUUCAUCACAUGUCUAAUUCAAUAUGUUUUCUUAGUCAUUUUUUAGUUAUAUACUCCUUCUUUUGAUCACCUUGGUUUUAAUUCCAAGUUGGUUGGCAAUCCCAAUCGAAAUAUAAUUUUUUGUGGAGCUACAAUCCAUAAGCACUUGACAUAGCUGUCUUCUUAGUUAACUUGUUAGAUACACCAGUUGACUCUUUUCAUAGUUGUCCAAGGCUAUGUCGUUUGUCUUUGAGAGAUAAUAGUUAUUCUUAAUACUAAGUCUCAUUUUUUUACUCCAUUUCAUUAUCAACUUGGUGAAUUUUAAGAUUGUGAACCUGCCUUGAUUUCUUGGUGCCUAAAUUUUGAUGUUUUAGACAACCUUCAAUUUUGUAGCCUAGCUCUCAACAAUAGAAAUACAAUCUUUUUAGCACUAAUAUUUUUUUUAUCUUUGUAGUAUUAAUAAUCUUUAUAAAGUAUUAAUUUCUAUCAGUAUUGAUUGUUAAGCUAUAAUAUUAGAUAGCGGCAUCAUAGGUUAUGCUUCAUGAUUUUUGAAAUCUAUAGCUUUUAUCCUCUCUAUCAUCUUAAUUGUGUCUUCAAAUAUUUGUGGAUAGCUUAAUUCCAUCUCUUGUUGGACCAAAAGUUUCAACUCUCGUAUAAAUCAAUCCAUCAUCUUUGCUCUUGAAAUAUUACUAAUUUGGAGACAUAAAAAUUUCAAUCAAAAGACAUAAACUUGCUCAUGUAGAUUGUGUAAGGUUAAAAAAUUAAUUGUGUGCUAUCUUUUCUACAUUGAUGAGCCAAAAUUGACUCCUAAACUCAAUCUUAAACUCCUUGUAGUUACAAAAUUCAUCUUAAAUUUUAUAGCUUUGAAUUCAAUAUUGCCACCAAAUGACUGCCAUACCUUUCAAAUAGCUAAUAGUAUGUAUAAUUCCUUUGGUGGUAUUUGCUCCAAAUAACUGGAGGUAUUGUUGUAUACUAAAGUUCCAUUAGCAUAUAUCUUCUUACCUUAAAGUUCCAAAGUAUGUAUCGAGCUUAUUAAAUUUUAGUCUAGUAGAUGUCAACUCUUUUGUCUUAGAGGCUUUCAUUUAUUCCUUUAGAGUAGCUAUCUAGUCUAAGAGGUGUUGUAUUUGAAUCUCUAUUUGGAAUUGCUAUACCAUAUUUUCUAUGCUAUGAUUUUCAAACUGAACUUUGCUACUAUAGUGACUCAAAAAACUAUUUCAAUAUUGACAUAUUUUAAAAAGAAUGGUAUAUUGCAGAUAAAUUAUAAUGAAUAAUGACAUGUGGUUUGUAUAGCAAAUAAAGUACUCCUUUACAGCUACCAAAUGAGCCCAAAUUGAAAAGAAUCCAUUAAAAAAUUAUGGAGCUAUGACCAAUCUAAUUUGGAGAAGUAUUUAAACAAAUUUUUGAAUGUAGUAUCUAAUUUUUAGAUUUUAUCAAUUAAUCAACAUUAUAGCAUUCUAUCAUCAUCAAUUUACUAUGACAAUAUUAUUACUAAUCUAAUGACAUCAUUAAUACUUACUAGUAGCUAUAAAAGUACCAUUCUUAAUUAUAAUUUCUGGCACAAAUAUAUUUUAAAUUACCAUAUUUUAGGACCUUUUAGAAUCUUUUGUAUAUUUCUAAUAUCUUUUAGAUAUUUAUAGAAUCUUCCAUAAUCUUUUAGAAAGUUCUAUAGGCUUUUAGAAGCCUCUUUAGACUUCUAAAAACUUCCAUAAAAAGUACCAUAAACUUCCGUAACCUUCAUUAUAGUAUAAAUAGGAGUCUUUAGAACCACUUUUACUAUCAAACUCAUUCUUUGUCUUUAAUCUUGACAUAUUUCUAUGUAAGAUUCUUAUAUCCUUCACAAUUCCUUGAAUAACUAUGAAAUCCAUUCUCUACUCUUUUCAAAACAUCACCUCUGUUCUUUUUUAUUUUCAAAAAUCUUAUGGCCAAAUUACUUUUAAACUUGAUUGUAGUAAAGUUACUAUAUCUAAGUUAGCAAAAAAGAUCACUUUUAAUAAGAAGAAUCUUAAAUUAGAUAAACCAAAGAAACUCACUGUAAUAGAUGAAAAAAAAAUUAUUUACCAAAUCAAUAGUGAAAAGGUAGAAAAUGUUAUUGAGGUUGUUAAAAAUCUUAAUGAUAUUUUUAAUAAUAUUGUGUCAAUCCAAAUCAUUCAAAUUAUUCUCAAGAAAUGGAAUAUAAAAGCCACAGUGAAAAAAAAAAAAAAAAAAAAAAAAAAAAAAAACAUUAUUAUUGACUUGCUAUCAAAAACAAUCCUUGGAUUUUGGUCUAAAGUACAAGGAAUGGAAUGUAGAGGAUUGAAAGAGGGUUAUUUGAUCAAAUGAGAUAAAAAUCAACAAAUUUGGGCUAGAUAGCAAAAAGUGAGUGUGAAAAUAAAAGGGUCAGUCUUCACUUGAUAAGAAGAUCUAAAAAAUAGUUAAGCAUGGAGGUAGAAAUAUAAUAGUAUGAGAUUAUAUGAGAUGGAAUAGAAUUAAAAAGAUGGGAGAGAUUGAGAAGAGGAUGGAUGCUAAAAAAUUUGUAGAAUUUUUUGAAAAAAACUUGCUCCCUAACAUUGAAGAAUUUGGUAUUUUUAAAGAAGAGGUGAUUUUUUAGCAAGAUAAUGAUCCUAAGCAUAACUCAAAACUAGCAUGGAAGUGAUUUGAUCAUUAUGAAAUUUAAGUAAUGAAUUGGCCUGCUCAGUCUUUUGAUCUUAAUUCUAUUGAACAUCUUUGAGAGCACUUCAUAUAGCAACUCAAUACCUGAAAGAUAAAAUCAAAGAAAGUUUAGGAAUUAUGGAAAAGAAUAGCUAUGAAAUAGAAUAAUAUUGAAGUAGUUUUGUACCAAAAAUUAAUAAAAAAUAUAUUUAGGAGGUUGAAAGCAGUUAUCAAGGCUAAAAGAGGUCCUACAAAGUACUGAUAUGUAAUUGGAUACCACAAUCAAAAAAAUAUUUUAAUACUAUUCUAAAUUAGAUUAAUCAUAGUUCUACAAUUAUCUAAUGGAUUCUUUUCAACUUAGACUCAUUUGGUAGCUAUAAAAGAAUAUUUUAUUUACUAUACAAACCAUGUAUUAUUAUUUAUUAUAAUUUAUCUAUAAUACACUAUUCUUUCUAAAAUAUAUCAAUAUUAAAAUAAUUUUUUGAGUCAUUUUAUAAUGCUUUCUCUCCUUCCAGCUGACUUCUUAAAGGUAGCUUGUGAUAGUUUCAAAAUACUACUUGAUGUAGCUACAAUAAUUGACUUUUAACUAGACGGUGGCUAUCAACAUUCUUCCAAAGAAUAGAUUAACACUUGCUCUAAUACCAAUAAAAUAAGAUUGGAUUAUCUCUAAGAUCUAAGAUCUUUCUAAUCUAUAGCAAUAUAAAUCUCGUUAUAAUAUAGUAUAAUAUAGAUCAGAAUAAAAUUGAAUAAAAUUAAAUAAAAUAGAAUAUGAAAGGUAAAAUAGAACAAAAGAGAAUAGAAUAGAAUUAAACAAAAAAGUACAAAAUCAAACUUUACUAAGAAAAAGGAGCCAAAGCGAUACUUGAUUGGAUAUUCAAAUUACCCUGAUCAAUCCUAUUUAUACUUUAUCUAAUUAUCUUGGAAAGUUUUAGAAUAUUUUUAAUAAUAGAAUCUAUUUAGAUAACCAUCUUAAGUCCUUUUUAGAAUAUUCUAUAGUAAAUCCUAUAUAGACUAUCAAUCUAACUCUAAUCUUAGAAAUUUCUAAAAACUUCUAAAAACUUUUUAAACAUUGCUUCAAAUACUUAUUUAUAUGCGUUAAUAAUACAAAUAUCUUAUCCAUGUUCUUUUAUAAAGUUAUUUUCUAUCUUUCAUAAGAUUUCUCAUUUCACUUAAUGAAGAUUUAUCUUCAUGCACUCUAAGGUUUCUUACAAGCUUUUUUUUCUCUUAAAAAUUAUUUCUUCACAUUCAAAGAUUAAAACUCCUCAUCAUUAUCAUCUUUAUCAUCUUAAUUAUCUUUAUUGUUGAUUCUAGCAAUUAUAGACAUACUUUGAUUUAACUUCUUUGACUUUUCAUCUUGAUUUGUAUUUCUACCAUUUCCAUUGUCAUCAUCUUCUUCUUAUUAUUUUUUAUUGGAAUUAGAGAUAUAUCCAUACACACACCAUUACUCUCAUUCAAAUAUAUUUCUAAGUAUUUAUAAGCACUCUUAUAUUCUAAAAACUCUACAUCACGACUUUUGAUAAUCUUUUUGAUUUCUAAACAUAUUAGCCUAUAUACCUUGAUACUUACAUAGUAUCAAAAAAAUACAAAUUUUAUACUUUUUGUAUCAAGUUUGGACCUCAUAUAAUCUAAUAUUUUUACAUAAGCUGUACAUUUAAAAAUCUUCAUAUAUAAAACAUAAGGUUUCUUACCAUUCCAAGCUUCUCAUAGAAUCAUUGAUGUGAGUGUACUUGUAAGGCAUUUAUUCCUUGUAUACAUUAUAUUUACAAGAGCUACCAUCCAAUAUUCAUACCAAUUUUUUUGUGCAUAAAGUAUAUUCUUUGCUAUCUAAAUAAUAGUAUAAUUUACACUUUCAGUAAUUCUAUUUUAUUGAGGAAUGUAAAAAAUAGAGGUUUUUCUUACAAUAUCUUAAAUAUUCAAAAAUUCAUUAAAAUAAUUUGAUAUAUACUCACUUCUAUUAUCUACGUACAACAUUUUGAUCUUGCACUUAAAUUACUUCUCCACAAGUGCCUUAAACUUAUUAAAGCUUGAAAAAUAUUCAUACUUAAUUUUAAGGAUGUACAAUUACAUAUUUCUUAAAAAAUCAUCAAUAAAUGUGACAAAGUACCUAAUUCCUCCAAUUAAUACCAAUCUUCAUUGGUCCACAAAUAUCAAAAUACAUAAUCUUGAAUAAUUUGAUAGCAUGUAUUGCAACUUCAUUUGAAAAUGAAGUGUUUUGUUAUUUUCUUUCAAUACAAUCUUCACAACUAAUGUCAUAGCAUUGUGUCUAAAUUGACCAAGAUCUAAGCCACUUACUAUGGAUUGGAGCUCUUUCAUACUUUUUGCAUUCAAAUGACCAAGUCAGUAAUGCCAAAUUCCAAACUUAUCCUGAUUUUGUAAAAAAUCAACAAAUAUCAUUACUUCAAUUUCAUUCAUCUUCUUAUAAUUGAUGAAAUAGAAGUUGCUAUUUCUAAGGCCUUUGACAAUAUCUUAUCCAUCCAAUGUCUUUACAAAACAUCCAUUUAUAUCAAAUUGAAUCUUACAACCAUGUGAUAUAAGUUUAUUCACCAAAAAGAGAUUAUUCUUCAUCUUUGGCACAUGUAAGACUUUCUUCAAUUUGAUCUUCUUGAUUUGGUCCUUUAUAACAAUUUCUAUAAUAAUAGACCUAAUUCCAAUAGCUUGCACUAUGUCAUUGUCUGUCAACUAAACUUUUGUUACUAUAAUUACUUCAUAAGUAUCAAAUAAAUACUUAUAUGGUGUUAUGUACUUGGUGGCAUCUAGAUCUAUAAUCUACUUAGAUAUGGCAGCCAUGGAAGUUCCUUUACUUGCUAUAAAAGUAUAAUUAUUUCUACCAAAGUUAUCACAAGCAUUGUUUACAAGCUCUCUAAUUCCUUCAUUAUCUUUAUAGCAACUCUUGUAAAAUAGUCUGAUUGCCUACAAAUACAACAAUUUUUCAUAUUGAUUUUUGAAUAUCUAUCUUUGUAUUAUCUUAAAAAUAGAGCCAAAUCUUUACUUUGAAUUUUUUUUUCUUGCCUCUUGAUAAUUUCAUAUGCAAGACUUAACAUGACAUAAUUCAUGGUAAGUUCUUUUAUAUUAAUAGAUUCUAAUGCUACAAUGAGGUAGAUAUAGGACUUUAAAAGAUUCAUAAAUAAUAUCAACAUAAUUUCUCUAUUAUUAAAUGGUACGUCAACAACUGUUAGUUGAUUUGCAAGUCCUUUUAUUUUAUUGACAUGAUCCAUGAAGUCAUGUUUUUUUUUAUUUUUAUUAUUAAAAACUUCUUCUUUGUCCAUAAAAUAUUGACAAGGUUUCUACUUUCAUAGAUGUUUUAAAGAGUCUUCUAUAUUUCUACUAGUUUAUUAUAAUCAAUUAUAUAUAAAAAGUUGGCAUUAUCAAGAUUUAUUGCAAUUAUUUCAAAAAUCAUUUUUUCAUGAUGUUUGUAUUCUUUCUUCACUUUGUUAUCAAUAUCUUCUUUUAAAGGCUCUUCACUUUGAUUAAUAAUGUCUCAAAGAUCCAAUGAAGCUAAUAAAAGCUUCAUUUUUUUCUUCCAAUGGUAGAAGUUAACACCUCUAAAUUUCUCAAUUAUUCUCAAGCCUUCACUUUCACUUGAAGCCAUUUCUUAAAAAGAGAUAUAUCAAAAAAAUCAAAAAAAAGAAGAAAUAAAGCUCUCAAAAUCAAGAUAAAAAAAUUAUUUUCUUAGAUAUCUAAAUUUCCUUCUUUAUAAGUAAAUUAGUAAUUUUAUUAUUUAAUUACUUUCAACUUCACUUGUAAGACUUUUUACAAAUCUUAUAUUCUAUCUAAGCCUCUUGUAUAAGAUUUUCCAUUCUUUAAUCACCUCUAAUCUUAUAUAAUACUUUUAAUUUCAUAAAAUACUACUUAUUACUAUAAGAAGAUCUUUUAAAAACUUAAGCACAUGAAAGUAUAAUGUUAGUAUAUUAAUGGUAUAACUUAGCAAAGAAACAAAAUACUAAUAUUUUAAAAUAUCAUUCAAAGGUAUUUAACAAUCUCCAAGACCAUGAAUAUACUCAAUAACAAGUAAGAGCAAAAUUACAUCAAUAAUAAGAUGAAAAAGUGGGAUUAGAUAAUAUCAAAUUCUAAUAUCAGCAACAACAAUAAGAUCUAUUCUUCAUAAGAAAGAAGACUUUAAAGAACUUCAAAAUUCACAACUAAAAGAAUAGAUUCAUAACCUAUAAAAAGAAAUAGAACUUUGAAGACACAAUACAUAGCAUCAACAAGGUUGUAUAUUAAGAGAGUAUAGAGUAAGACGUCUUUCACUUCCAAUAUCUAUUACCUAUAGAUAGUAGUUGUUGCCUUAAUAGAAAACUUCUGCUCUUUAACUUCUACACACAUGGUCUUUAGAUCCUUUGGCAUCUAACUUAUCAUAAAAGAAUCCUAUGCCAAAUAUUAAUUAAUCUUAUUUAGUCUUUAGAUAUUCUUUAAUUGAUAUUUUAUCCUCUUAAUUAUAAUUCUUCACUCUUGACAUUGUCUUAUAUCUGUAGGAUGUAUUUUUCAUGCAUCAAGAGUCAAUCCUUUAAACAUUAACGGUUUAUUUAAGAUAAUAUUUUUUACAAGAUAAUUUAUUUUACUUUUAUUUUUACUUACUUACUUAUUUUAAUAAGAGAGUCAUUGUAAUCUAUUGUUUGUAUCCUAUUAUAUACAAGUAAUGACAAUGGUUCUUCAAACAUUUCAAUUUUUGGGUAUAAAUUUAAUUAAAGAUAUGCUCUCAAUAUCUACCUAUCAAAGAUAUGAAUCUUAAGAAAAGAAAUCCUGAAUAUACUUUUGUGUCACUCAAAAGAAUUAAAAAACCAUUCAAAGAUGAUAUAGUAUUAAACUAGAAUGGCUAUUGUUAAAGAUAAGAAGACUAAAAAGUCUUGAAACAAGACUUAAGACUAAAAAAAUAUUGACAAGAGUGAAAAAGGCUUCAUUCUUGCUUCCAUAUUUACUCUUAACUAAGAAUUACAUGCGAUAUUUUAUUGGACCUCCAAAACGUGUUGACUUUGCAAGAUACAUAUCUUAACUUUCAAGACAAGUUUUUAUACGUGGGCCACAUAAUUAGCUUAUUCCACAAGCUAUCAAUAUGUGGUUAACUUAUUGACCAAGUUUUUAAUCUAUCAAUCAACUACAAAUACAUAUAAAGUCAAAAAAACAUCUUUAAAGCUUUUAAGAAGUUUUUCUAAAAAAUAUUAUAAAAUAAAUUUAUUUUUACUUACUUCUAUUUAAUGACAUAGAUAAAUAAUAGAAUAAAUAUGUAUAUCUAUGACAUUACCUCUUCUUUUAGGAAUGUCUUUCAUAAAAAGCAAUCAUCGUCUUUUAUGGAUCUUAUAAUUCUUCAACUUGAUUUUAAUGGAUAUCAUUGAAGAAAAGCCUCAAUUUUCUUUAUUGCAUUUAUAAGAUUCUUUGCUAACUUCUAUGUACAUUCACUAAUAUCAUAUCUAUGGCACAAAAAUAUUAAGUCAUAAAUGAUAACCAUAAUUGACAAAGAAAGAUAUUUGUCAAGUAGAAAAAUGUAUUGAAUUACUAUAUGUAAACUUUGCCAAUGGCAAAAGAGUUGUCCAAUCAUCUUGAUGAUAAUUGAUGGUUUAGCUCAAAUACUACUUCAAAAUUUGAUUCACUUAUUCUAUUUGUCUAUCAAUUGGAAGAUAAAAAAGUCAAAUAGAGCUUUAUUUUCACAUUUAAAUUCUUAAAAAGAAUUUUCUAAAAUCUUGAUAUAAAUUGAGUUCUCUUAUCCAAUAUAAUAUCUUUGAGAAAUCUAUAAUAGCAAUAAAUGUUACAAAUAAAAAAUUUAGCCAUUUCUUCAUUUAUGAUAGAUUUUGUAUAUGAUACAAAAAGUACUAUCUUGGUAAAAUGAUCUAUUAUUAUAAAUAUAGAAUCAUACAAACCUGAAAUAAAAAGAUUCAUGAUAAACUCCAUAGAAAUAAAAGACCAUGGUUAUUUCAAAAUAAGUAAUAGCUGAAGAAGACCUUUAAGAUCAAGGACAAGGAAUUUUAGAUCUUAAACAAAUAUCACAGGAUUAUACAAAGUCUUUGACUGCCUUCUAGAUUUGAGGCCACCAAAAAUCUCUAAAUAUUAGCUCCAAAAUCUUGUUAUAUCUAAAACAUUCAAUUGCUAAAAAAUCAUGACGAGCUUGAAAAACAUAUAGUUAUCCUUUGCCUUAUAGAAUGUAUAAUCAAUCCUUGAAAUAGAAUAGAUUACUCUUAAAUUCAAACUUAAAGUAUCAUGAGAUUUAGAAGAAUUAUUUUUGAUAUUAUAAAUAAGAAUAUCAAAAGAUAUAUUUAAUUGAAUUUUUUUGACAAAAAUUGAAUCAAAAGUCAAUGUUGAUUUUAUUGCUUAGAGAUGAAAAUGCUCUAGCUUCAAGAGAAUCCUUCUUUGUUGAUCAAAAAAUAUAUUUUUUUCUUUUGAUGUAAGCUAAGAAUAUCUAAAAUUGACAUUUGAUAAAAUUCAUUAUUUUCUAAGGUCUACAAGUGAUCUUGAAAUCAAAUCUUGAUAAAAACAUACUCCAACAGGCUUGGCAAUAAUUCAAAACACAUGUUGACAUAAAAUACUUAAGAUUCUUGUAAUUGUAUAUAUACUAACUAGACUAAAAGUACCUUUAAGAUAAUGAUGCUAUUUUUUAGAAUAAAAUCUAUAAUUAUAAGAAGCUCUUAAUUGUGGAUCUUGUAGUUUAUCUUAAUUACUAAAAAUUUCUUAGAAUAAAAAGCUAUCAAAUCAAGCUCAUUAUUUCCUUUUAUUUGUCAUAGAAUAACAUCCAUAGUAAAGUUUGAUGUAUUUGUUUCCAUAAAGAAUACCUUAAAAAAAUUGACACAAUAUAAAAUUGGUGUAAAAAUAAAUGUUAUCUUCAAGACUUCAAGAGGUGUUUUAAUUUCUUUGUUCCAAUCAAGUUUGUCUUUAUAUUUCAGACAUGUAAGAAAAAUUGCAACUUGAGAAAAGUUCUUGAUGAAGAUUUGAUAAUAAUUGGCAAAGCCCAAAAAAUAUUAUACAUCUUUAAUUUUUUUUGAAAACUUCCAUUUUAUGAUGGUGUGAAUUUUUUUAGAAUCCAUCAUUAAUCUUUUAUUGGAAAUGAUAUAUCCUAAGAAAUCAACUUGAGUAGUGUAGAAUACAUACUUUUUCAUCUUUGCAUAUAAUCAUGUAUCUGUAAGUUUUUAUAAUAUAUGACAAAUAUAAAGUUUAUAUUCUUCUAUGUUCUUAAAAUAGAUUAGAAUAUUAUCUAAAUAUCAAAUAAAAAAAUAUCAAGAAAUUUACAAAAGACAUCAUUCAUGAAAUGUUAAAAAGUAAUUAGUACACUCAUAAGUCCAAAAAAUAUAAUAUUAUAUUUAAAAUAUCCAUACGUAGUUUGAAAAGCAAUCUUCUAUUCAUCUCCUUCUUUAAUGCGGACUAAGUUGUAUAUUCCUUAUAGAUCUAUUUUUGUAUAGAUCUUUGCUUGAUUGAGUUGGUCAAAAAGUUUUAAAAUCAAAGAUAAAAGAUACCUAUUCUUGAUAGUGAUCUUGUUAAUUCUUUAAUAGUCUAUAUACAUUUAUAGAGAUCUAUCUUUUUUCUUCACAAAUAAGAUAAGAGCUUGUGCUAGGAAUUUUAAAUAGUGUAUAAAGUUUUUAGCCAAGUUCUUGUCAAUGUAUUUCUUUAGUUUAGCCAACUUAUUUUGCAAUAAGUUGUAGAUUGGUGUGAAUGGUAGUUGAAUACAUUCUUAUAGAUCAAUUGAACAAUCUUAGAGUUGAUACUGUAGAAAAAUAUCUCUAUUAUUUUUUUAAAAAAAAUCCUAGAAAUCUUGAUACUAGCUAAGAAUACUAAUUGGUAUCAUUUCACCAUCAAAAGUGGCUAUGGUAUAUAUAACAAAAGAUGUUCAUUCUUUUGUUAUAUCCAUGAAAGUUCUUGCAUCUAUCAAUAAGAGUUUGGAUGUACUAGGCUUAUCUAUUUUUACUUCAUUAUUGAGAUUUUUUAUUAAACUAUAAGAAAAAUUAAGAUUACAAGAAAUCCAAUCUAUCUAAGAAAUAUAUUUUUUUAACCACAAUAAUCCUAAAAUAAUUAGAUUAAAAAAAAUCUUAUUACAUAAAAUAUUAUUAUACUAUUAUAAUCUUUAAUUACUAUAUCUAAAAGAAUAAUUUCAUGAGUAAUGUCUCCAAAAGAUAUAAAAUGACCAUCUAUGACUUCUACAUGUAAGGAUUUAGUUUUUUUGAUUAAAGAUAUUUUUUAUUUAUUAACUAAGUAUUUAUUUAUAAAAUAAGCUAAUGCUUUUAAAUCUAAUAAUAUAAAGGUUUUAUAUUUUUUAUUUCCUAAUAAACAUUUAUUAUAAAACAAGGUGAAAAAUUUGAAGAGGGAAUAGGACCAUUAUUAGGUGUUGUAUAUGAUUCCAGCUAUUGUGAUAAUAUAACAUGAUUAAUAGAUAAAAAAGAUGAAAAAAUUAUUCUUUUAUAGAAGAUCUUAUUUCAAAUAUUGUAGAAAAUUAUCUUAGAAGAUAGACAAUAGUUCAAAAGAAAGUAAUAUUAAAGGUAUAAAUGCUACUUUUUUAUAAAAUAAGCUUCUAUUUACUUUAUAUGGCCAUAAAUAAGACAAAAUAAGGUAGAUUAAAAAAAUAAAAGAUGUGAGCAUAUGAAGGAGGAAGUAAAGAGUUAAUUUGAAUAAAAUUUAUCUCAAAAAAAAAAAUUGAUAUCCAAAAAGGACCAAUUAUUAACUUAGAUCGAAAACAAACCCUAAGGUAUAAAAUUGAGCACCUAUAGCAACUUAAGGAUUCUUUAGCAAAUGAAAGAAUGGGAUUUGGGAGUUGACUUGAAAAGGGUUUUUUGGACAUUGAAUUUGAGUGAUUUGAGUACGUAAUAAUUUUGUAAGAGCAUUGUAAAGUAACAAUUGUUUUAGGUGAUUUUAAAAUUUGUGAAAUAAAAAGAGUAUUAUAUUUUGGAGAAUUUUGUGAGUUUGGUAGUAAUGCUCGUAAAGUCCAAUUGGCGGGCCUACCNNNNNNNNNNNNNNNNNNNNNNNNNNNNNNNNNNNNNNNNNNNNNNNNNNNNNNNNNNNNNNNNNNNNNNNNNNNNNNNNNNNNNNNNNNNNNNNNNNNNAAACAAUUGAAUAAAAGGUAAUUGAAUUUAAGUAAGUUGAAGUCUUAAAAAUUGGAUUUAAGGGGCAAUUAGGAUUUUUAAGAUCUUUAGCAAUCUAUUCAUUGGGUCAAAGUGAAAUUUUUAUAUAAAAAUAAAGUGUUUUAUUUGCCAUAUAUAUGUAAAAUUUAAGAACAAUUAAAUAGUUUAAAAAUGAGAUAUUGGCACUAGAAGUUCAACAUUUAGAUUGGCCAUCCAACACUUGAGCAGAUUUUAGGAUUUUUCUUCCAUUUGGUAAGUGCAAUUAUCUUAAAAUUUUAUAUUUUUAUUGCUAAUUUAGUUUUUGAGAAGUAUAUAAAAUUUUAAAGAAGAUCAACAAUUAAAUCAAUAGAUAUUGAGGUUCUAAAUUAUAUUUCUAUUAGGUUGAGUUGAUUAGAUUUUGGUUAGGAUUUGAUUUAGAGUUAGAAUUGAAUUAGGAUUUAGGGUUUGGUUAAAGUUUGGUUAGGGUUUGAUUUAGAGUUAGGAUUGGAUUCGGAUUUAGGAUUUAGUUAAAGUUUGGUUAGAAUUUAAAAUUAAACUAAGAUUUAGGAUUUAAAAUUUAUUUAAGGUUUAGAGUUUAGGAUUUAUCCUAGGAUUCGAUUGAAAUCCAUUAGAAUUUCAACUAGGAUUAAAUUAGGACUUUAUUAAAAUUUAUUUAAGAUAUAUUUGUGUUUAUUUUGAAAAAAAAUUAAGAUUUCUUAGGAAUUCUUUUAAGAUUUAUUGGAGAUUUUAUUUUAAAUUCUUUUAAGAUUUUUUUUUAUAUAUAAUUUUUUAAAGAUUUCUUUUAAAUUUUAUUAAAGCUUGCUUAGUAUUAUUAAGGUUUACUUUGAAUUUAUUUAGUAUUCUAUUAGAAUUAGAAUUUUCCAUUGUAAUUUCUAUUCUAUUUUCUACAACUAGGUGCCCAGUACAUUUUCAAGUAAGACUUUAUGUAAUACAAUAUCGCAUCAUCACUAUUAUAGUGAAGAAACUUAUUUUUCAAAAUAUUGUCUUUUUUAGCAAUUGUGCUUUCUAUUUUGUGAUUGAAUUACUUCUUUAGAUAAUGUUAAGCAGUAUGCUUAGUUUCUCCAUAAUAUAAGCACAAAUCUUCUUGACGAUGUUCAAUAUUUUUUUGCUUAGUAAAAGAUUUAAAAUGUACCAUAUCAAUUUACAUUAGUUUCAGCCUUGAUAAAUAAGUUUUUGAAAACUUAAGAGCUGUUGUCAUUACCUGACGUGUUCUUCUUCAAUCAAAUCUUUAUUCUUAAUGCCUUUUAAAUAAUUGAUUGAUGUAUGCAAUGGCUUAAGUAAUAAAUUAUUCCAUAGGUUUUGUUUUUGAUAUAGUCAAUAACAAAUCUUUGAUGUUAGCCUUCAACCUAUAUUAAAAUUAAUUGAUAAAAGCUUUGUCAUUUUAAUCUAUAUUACAAGUAAGAUUUUAGAAUUCAGCAAUAUAUAUGGUAGAUAAUUCUGAUCAUUAUUAUAAAGAUAAUAGCUUGGUCUUUAUUACUCUUUUUCAAUCAUUUUUUCUAAAUAUAAUUAUAAAUACUUCUAAAAAUGAAUUCAAAUCAUGAAAGAGUUAUAAAUCAUUUUCCAUCAAAUAUACAAACUAAAAAAGAGUACUUCUAGAUAAAAGUGCACUUAUGAAUUCAACUUGAGUAAAUCCAUUAAGAUAUUGGAAGAGAUGCAACCUUAGAUAGAGCUUCAUUAGUUGCAAAAAUGCUCAAAAUUUUGAUUUUGUUCCAUCAAACUUCUCAAGCAUACUAAUCUUUGUCUUUGUUAUACUUGUAGAAGCAAAACUUCUUAGAUUUAGUUGUGAGGUCAAUUUACUUGCUUCUCUCAAUUGCACAACUUCUUCAUAUAGACUCUAAUUUUUUUUUUUAUAGGUGUAGGACUAAUAUUUCCAUGGUUGGCAUUUGUGAUGCAUAAAAUUUCCAUCUUAAGAGUAUUGAUAAGUUCUUAAAGAUCAACAAUAGUUGCAAAUCUAUUUUCACUUUUACCAAGUGUAGUAUCCAUGAUUUUUUCUUCUAUUUCAAAUAACUUAAUAUAUCCAUAAGACAAAUUAGAUGAGGUUAAUUUAUAGCCUCUAAUAUCAAAUGAAAAUUUUCAUAAAGAGGGAGAAUUUUCUCUCUUUACAGAAGAUAUUAAUAUUAAAAAACUAAGUAAUUUGUUUAAAGGUAGAUAAUCCAUAAUCUUCAAAAGACAAAAAUAGAAAUGAAGUAAUCUACUUACUUCUAAAAUAAGAUAAAAAUAUGAAUUCGUAUUCUUGUCAAACUAUCAAAGACAUGAAUCUUUAAAAAAGAAAUUUUCAAUACACUCUUCUAUUAUUCAAAAGACUAAAAAAAUUACUUAAAGAUGAUAUAGUAUUAAACUAAAAUAGCUAUUAUUAAAGAUAUGAAGACUAAAAAGUCUUAAAAAAGACUUAUAACUAAAAAAGCAUUGAUAAGAGUGAAGAAGGCUUCACUCUUGCCUCUAUAUAUACUCUUAAUUACAAGCUACAUGGUGAUAUCCUACAAGACCUCCAAAUACAUAUUGAUUUUAUAAGAUACAUAUCUUAACUUGCAAGAUAAUUUUUUU
rnacentral:lncRNA from 1 species